rnacentral:lncRNA from 1 species
ACUGAGUAUCAUACCAAGGGUGAUGUUGUACUAAAAGAAGAGGAUAUUAAGGCAAGCAAGGAACAAUCUUUUGAAUUCUACAAGGCUUAUGCAGAUUACCUAAAUGCCAAUCCUCAUGUUUGUGCCUAAAUAUUUUUCAGUUAUGUCUUGACGUUGUGAUGUAUAAUGGAAACACACAUGUUUCCCUAUUUCCCUAUUUCAGCAAGAGUGGUGUUUUUGCCUUAAUAAAGAACUUUGUUCUACUUUCCUUUGAAGUCUUCUUUUUUUAUUUUUUUCCUCCAUCCCACCGCCGCCCCCCCUAAAACGACUAUAUAUUGCAUAUUUUAUUAAUAGCAAAGACAAAACAUAGUAUAUACUUAGGAGGGAGGUUCAACCACACCCUCCAGCUGAAGAUAAUAUAUAUAUAUAUAUAUAUAUUCUCUAGAAACAAUAUAUAAAAUGUAAGAGUUAAAAGAAAGCACACUAUAUACGCUCUGUCAUACUCCCCAUCAUCUUUCAAUAAGUGGUCAAUCAUGCUCCUUAUUAUAUUUGAACUCACUACAUGAAGUUUGUUCUUUUCGACUAAUUAAAUUCAUGUUUCUAUAAUCAAUUCGAUCCCCCGAUUGAAUCGGGCGCAAACUGUCAUCAAAUUUUCCAAUACUAAUCAAGAAUUUUGUCAUGACCCAUACCGAAUCAUCCUAAUAAAUCCAACACCUGUCAUGCGCCGAUAGUAGAUACCACUUAAGUAUGGGAUCCACCACCAAGGCAACUAUAUCCUGCUUAGAUUGUGACAUAUUUCUAUAAAAAUUUGACAAAAUUUCUUCUGAAAUAUGGACUAAAACCACGUGAAUAAAACGCAAUUUCUCAACCUUGUACAUAUAAUAUAAAAUAUAAUACUCUAGUCCCUCAAAAUACUAAUUAUUCAAAAUAAAAUACUUACAAAUCGAUAUUUACUUACUUUACAACUAACAAUCAUUAAAUGUACUAAAGAUGCCAAAUAUGUAGUGUGCCCAUAGAAACAUGUAUUAUAUAAACUGAUAAAGUAGGUCAUACAACUAAUGACUUGUGGCUCAAUUCAAUGGAUCGACAAGAUCUAAAGCUGUUCAACUCGAUUGCUAUUUGAUAAAGAAAAAGGUGAUAAGAUAAAUGAGCUUAUAGCUUAGUGAGUGAAUAAUUUGCAAAUGAGUAUAUUUUUUCAUUUAUACAUAUUUUUUGAAAAUUCCUACUCUGUUAAAACUUUGAGAAAUCCAAAAAUUUAGUAACACUUUUAAAACUAAACAUAAUUUCGUCAUACAAUUCUUUGUUCUUAUUCUAGGUAAGCAACUAUAAGGUACAAUAAAUAUGAAUAAUCUGAUAUCAGUAAAUAUAAGUGAAAAUAUCAUUUCACAUAACUAUAAGUUGAAAUCAUAACUCUAAAAACUAGAUAAGCUAAAUUCUAUACUUUGUAAUCAGAUAAGUUGUAGAAAAAAAAUAAAAUAAAAAUUCACACCAAAAAUGGUACCCAAAAUAACCUUAAUCAUGUAUCGAUUAGUACCGUUACACAUGGCAAAUCUAUUCAAUUUUGAAAUUCUGGUCAUAUGCGCACAGAGCUGCCUGAAGGCUAUAAUCUAGUCAUACACUAUGGAAACACAUUCACAAUAGUACAAAGCAGAUAAAAUCACCAUAAUUGAUCAUACACUGUGAAAAUACAUUCACACCAGUACAGAGUAGGUAAAAUAACCAUAUGCAAGGUCGGACCUAAGGAGAGGCCCAAGAGGCCUCGGCCUCAGGCCCAACUUUUUAGGCAACCCAAAAUUGUGUUUUCCUUCUUCAUUUCAUUUCUUUUUUUUUUUUUUUUUAAACCCACUAUGUGCACAAAAGGGGGAAAAAACCAAAACGGCAAAAUCCCGAGAAAUCAAAAGGGUAAAAAUCAAGAACAAAGAAGAACGACGGUGGAGGUCGGAGAUUCGGAGCUGAUGUGAUCGUCAUCACCAUCAAUAGUUCACCUCCCAAUUUCCUCUCCGUUGACGAUGGUAUUUUUCUUCAAAAUAAUCUUGUAUUGUAUUGGGUGAUUGGUAUGGAUUUUUCCGAAGCAUCCUACAUUUUUUGGCAUGCUUUUUAUUUAAAUCGCAGUGGCCUGAGGGCUGACAUAUGCAUUAGAUUGAGAAUUGAGAUUAAACAAUUUGGUUCUAAUUAACUUUACUUAUUCAGAAAAUCACCAGCUCCGUCCGCUGUUUUGUUUGAGGAGAAAAAGUAAAAGGCUGAAAAGGAUUAACUUUUGAGUUUUGGUAUUGAAUUGCAUGGAUUUAGGCAUUUAGCUUUGUGUUGGAACUACAUUGAAUCAUUGAUAUUAUUUUGAUUCCUGGAUUCUUAGAUGUUCUUUCAUGUAUUUAAUCGGGCAAUGGGCAGCAACUGAGGCUUUAUGUGAAAUUUGAAUUUCAUAGAGUUUAGACAUUGAGGCAAUCAGAUCCUGGAGCUUGGGUGCUAUUUCUGUGAUUAUCAAGAGAGCUGGGAACUGAAGGUCAAACACUUGAAAAAACCAUCACUGGACAUAUGAUUAGAAGUAGCUACAGGAACACGAUGAAUUUAAGUUAUUAGUUUUCUCUUUUUUGGAGUUGAUAACUAAUUUAUAUAAUAAUAUUCUCUUGAGUGGCCAAGACAAUUUCGCCUGCUGAUCCAGUAAUGAAUGUUAAUUGUCCUCUGGCAGUUCAUAUUACUCUUUCAUGUCCCUCUAUAAAAGUAUGGAUUUUUGACUGCUAUGAAAUAAUCUUCUAUACUCAGGUUACUCUUACAUUUCAUUAAAUCUAAUUUAUUAACAUUUUGUGAAACUACAGGAGAGUUGAUUGAUAUAAUUUUUGUUCUAAUUUUACAGUUUACGAAGUGUUAGAUGUUGAGUGACUUGAGUCAAAUACCAUACCUCUAAUUUUUGUUGCUUCAUUAUUGAUUUUAAGUUAAUAAAUUUAAUUCCUUAAAACUCUUAUAAAUUAAAAGGAUGAAUUGCUUGCUGUGACUUAGAAGCUCAAAUUCUAAAGUUUGCCUCAAGCCCUGCGAAACACAAGUCUGGCUAGGGUUGGCAACGGUUCGGUUAUGGGUCGGUUCGGCCAAAACCAUACCGCACCACCAAAUUUUUGACCAUACCAUAACCGCACCAUAACCACGUAAAUCGAUUCGGUUCGGUUCGGUUCGAUUUUUAUCUCGGUUCGGCACGGUUCGAUUCGGUUAAUAACCACGAAAAUAAAUUAUUUUUUAUAGGUUCAUCCGUCAAAUUGAUAUAAAACAAUUUAUGAAAAAAGUCAAUGAAAACAAAAAUACAAUAUUUCAAACGAAAAUGCAAACAUUAUCAAGCAAUAUUCCAAACGUAAAUGCAAACAUUAUCCUAAUUUUCAAUUGUAAAAUGCAAAUUUAACAAACAAUAUUAUAAAUAUAAUAAUACUAAACUUUUCCUUCAUUCUUAAUUGUUGUGCAUUGAAGUUACUUGAUGCAUUCUUCCCUACAAGUCUUAUUAGCAUAGAUCAGCAUUCAAAGUUGAUUCCUAUUCAUCCUUGGCAAUAUUGGCACGUCUAGAAAAACAUCGAACUCUGUUUUUACAUGAUCAGCAGUAAUAGAAUGACUAACAAAUGUAACAAAUUUUCGUAGGCGACGACGAUUUGGACCAUAGAGGCAAUGGAGCCGUGCGUGAGUUUUUGGUUGUGCAGAGUAGGGUUUGUAUUUAUAUACUGUCAUACUAAUGUUAUUAUGGGCUAAUGGUAAGUAGAUUGGCCGAAUGAGUGAGGUAGAUAUAAUGAGGAGGGGAGGGAUUUUGUUUUGAUUUUGAUAGAAAAGUAGUGUAAAACCCAUUAUCAAUUCAAUUUUUUUUUAGCGGGUAGCCGGUUCGGUUUCGGUUCGACGACGUAAAUACCAUACCCGCACCAUUACGAACCGGUUCAUUAAAAUCAAAACCAUAUCCGCCCCAUUGCACCAUCGGUUCGAUUUUUUUCGCCCCAUUCGGUUCGGUGAACCGCGGUUUUCGAUUUUGACGGUUCAAAUUGCCAUCUCUAAGUCUGGCCCUGGUGUUAUGGAGCCACACACCGUGGAAACACAUUCACACAAAUGCAAAUAUGGGUAAAAACUCCUAUAUACUUUCUGAUAGUUUUAAAAAUAACUUUAAAUAUAUUGAAAUAUUUAUAUUCAUUUAGCAUGCAAAUCAAAUGAUUUAACUAAAUUGGAUUUAACUUUAAAAAUAAUUGAUUAUAAAUCCACUUUAUUCUAAAAUUCAUGUUAUCAAAUCAACUAAAUGAAAUAAUAAAUUUUCGGAUCUGAUAUAAAUUUAAUAAAUACUAAUUUUUGAAAAAUAAGUUUAUAUCUACUCACCAAGUUAGAGAUUGAUUGUGAUUUCAAUCUUCUUGUCACCUCCUCACAUUCAAAUACCAAGUAUGACAUCUUGCACUCCUCCCAAGAAACCAUAUCUCGUCACUAAAGUGCUUUAAGCAAUUUUUCCUACCAUUAGAAAUGAUUAUUUACUGAUAAGCACUUGGAGUAUUUUAUUUUCAAUGUAAGGUAAUAAUCUCAAUUAGGGUCAUAAUAACAUAACGACCUUUAUAUAAGUUACUUCAACAUUUAAUCCCCAAUAUUUAAUACUUAAUUUGGUUUUCACACUAAAAAAUCCAAGAAAAUCAAAGAUAACAAAAAAUAGCACUGUAUUUCCAGAAUAUAGAAAUCUGGCACCAAUUUCUGUAUAUUGAACUGCCACCAAAACCAUUGACAGAAAUGGCACCUUCUGGGCAGAAUUUCAAAAAGAGCACUAUACAUGAAUUUUGCCCGAAAAUUAAUUAGAAAAAAAAAAAACCAAAUCCAACCUCAACUCCUUAUCUCAUUGUAAUGCCUCAUAAAUCAAGUAUUUUAUAGCAUAUACACAAUAAAUAUAGAGAUUUAGGCUGUGAUUUACAAACCCAUUUCAUAUUACUCUAACAUAUAUUCAACUCCAAUAUCUAUUCUUUCCUCCAAAUCUUUAAAGUUAGGCCACUAAUUACAAACCCAAAUCUAACAAUAUUGAAUAACAAUGAGUUUUCUUACCUCUUGGAAUAGAAUGAAAGAAAUGAACCUUGUACUUGAGUCCAUAUUUCAUCUUCUUCAAUAAUCUCUUUUUCCUUUCCUAUUUCCCAUUUUUUCUUAUCAUCUUCCCCCUUUUUCUUUCUCUAUCUCUUCUUUCCUUCUCUACCUCCUUCUCGAUUAUUCUCUCAGCUUCUCUGCUCGUUUUAUCCCCAAAUGGAAAAAUAGUGGUACUAACUCAUAAUUGCAAAACAAGUCCUCCAACCUUCAUUUAAAACCACAUUAAAUCCUUGUCUUUCAAUUCUAUAUAAGUCGAUCCCCAAAAUUAAAUUUUAUCCAUCUUAAACCCUCAAAAUAUUUUUCAUAAUAAAUUAAGCCCCAAUAAACUAAUUUAUUUCAUUUUAGUCCCUAUUGACUUUGACUUUGAUAACUAAACUUUUAAUUUUUGACUACAAAAUAUUGAGUUGUAACAAAUUUAGUUUAUAGUUUUCUAUUCCGAGUGAUAUAAUGAAUGUUUUGAGUUAAUUGAGACAAGCACGUGGGGCUUGUUUUAUAUCCCUAUUUAUCGCCAGAAACACAUAGAAUCUAAAUCUUCACAUGAGUCCCCUAAUCACUCAAAUUCUUAGAAAGUUAUUUUAUUUAUGUGCCAUCAUAUCCUAUUUCUUCACCCAAAUUCAUCGUAUGAAAGUUACCCUCAUAAUUUCCUAAUUCUAGUGUCACAUGAUGUGACAAUUGACUAGGAAAACCUGAAAUCGAAGAAAAUCAUAGCAUUGUCUUUGAAAAUUCACUAGGAGAAAGCGAGAAGAAAACAAGAAUAAAUAAUCGAGUUAGAUUAAUCAUAAUAGAUAUGUUGGGUCCUGAUAAAAGUUUACUUGUAAGUUAAUAAUUAGUUUAGAUUAAUUUAAUUUUUAUUUGAUUAUUUUCAAAAAUAUGUAAUUUAAUUGUCUUGACAGCAAAAUAUAAUGUUAUUUUGAAGAAUAAUAAUUUAUUAUUAUUUUUAUUUUAUUUUGAAACGCAUUAAUAAUAAGUUAUUCAAAAAUAAAUAAAUAAAUAAAAAUGGUUUGGAAAAAAAAGUAUUACAUAAAAGUAAAUUUAUAUUUUUUAAGCUUAGCUAAUCAUACUAUUAUAUUUAGUAAAUCAAAUUAUGUUUUUCUUAUUUUUAAGUAAAUAUAUUAUUUUGAAGAAUUUUUACUUUACUCAUAAUAAGAAACAUAGCCUCAAUUCGAAAAAUUUAUAAAUCUUUAUUAAUAAUGAGGAAUAGUUGCGAGUCUCACCAAAUGUGUGGAUAAUAAAUAAGUAAUAAUUUAUGAACAUUAAUUGAAAUUAAUCUUUGAUUUUGACUUAAUUUAUAAAUCAUUUAUCAAUUGAUUGUCAAACGGAGGUCUAAUUACAUUCAAUAGCAACAGAUGAAAAAUUAUUUAUUUCAUAUGUUACUUAUUAUGUAUAAGUAAAUUAUAUAAGCAUAAAACUUUUUAGUCCCAGCCAAACGAAAAUAAUAGAAACCCAAUGGCUGCAAAUUUGUAGUUGUUUAUAAUUAGAUCAUCUUAUCAUCAUUUAUCAUUACCCUAGCAAAAGAAAUAUAAGUAAUCAACGAGAAAUCUGUUGGAAAAAUGGUUUUAGUUAAGCAAACUUGAGCUUAGUUUUACGUGAGGCUCUCCAAAAUUUACAAGAUCAAGCAUUCACAUUCUACUCCGUGAGAUGAUUGACAUGAUAUAUUUAUUUAUUAAAAUCAUUGAUAAUUGAAUGAAAUAUUUGAUUCCAAAUUUACCCUCUUCAAAAUUUAAAUUUGAAAUUGCUAAAUUCUUGUCCACAUUUGAAACCUUAUGGUAUAUAGUAUGGUUUAUAAGGUGAGAGCUGACAAUUGGGUUUGGGUUUCAAGGGUACCACAUUUGAAAGCAUGUUUAGUCGUGGGAAAAAUAUGAUAUAUAGUAUGAGCUGUUCAAGGGUACCACAUUUGAAACCUUGUGAUAUAUAGUAUGAGUUGUUUUAUUAUAAGGAAUGUGAGAAAAAUAUGGAUGAACUUCAUAAUGAUUACUUAUUAUGGGAUAAUUUGUUGCCUAAGAAAAGAGUUAAAUGGAUAUGUACAUUCAAGUAUGUUUAUGUGAUUUGAGAAAAAAGGGGAGUAGAGAAUGGUAGAGUUGGAAUUUAUUUAGAUUAAAAAAUUAAUAUAAGAGAUCUGGGUGGCAUAUUGAUGUGUGAAAGGUUCAUAUUAAAAAUAUGAAGGUUGUUAUUUUGUGAUCUUAACUAAAAUUGAUAUAAUUAAAAGUUAGAAGGCAUAUGGUACGGCUAUAAGUAUGUGAUGGUGUUAUAUGAUUACAACAUGAUAUGAUGAGUAUGUAAAUGAACAUAAUGGUUGUCAUAUAGCAAAAUAAUGUGAUGAUUGAUUUGGUUAUUAAGUUAAUUCAUUUUCUUAAUGCCAUUUUGCUGGAUUAUUGUGUUAUAUUCCAUACAAUUUGGAAGCGUUGAGUUAACUUUUGAGGCCAAGGUGAAAUUAUUGAAAUUUUGGUGAUAUAAUUUUUAGGUCAUUUUCAAUUUUAUUUUAGGAUCUCAUGAAUAAAGUAUUUCAUUUUUAUCGAGAUGUAUUUGCUACGAAAUAAACGGAUGAUAUGUUGGAAAAUUUAAAGUUUAAGAGGAUCAUCAGAUGUAUGUUUAUACAUUGUGGAAUGAUAUCUUUAGGUUACAUUAACUUCAAUAAAGGUCUUUAUCUGACAUACAAAAAGACUUAUGUAUUGGUAAUAGGUCCAAGGCCUCUAUAUGGAAUAAGAGUGUAGCAUUAUCAUGGAUCAAAUGUUAUUAAUGUCUCUUCAUAGAAAGAAAGCGAAAAAAAAAAUGUGUUGGUUUAGAAAGGUAAAAUUUGUGCCUACGAGGAGCUUGAAAUUGAUUAAAUUUUGAGGAAAUAUUUGCUCACAUAUCUAAAGUUGAUGAGGGUUUGAUUUAUGAUAAUGAAUUAUGCUAGGGUUUGGAAAGUGUUUUGAAUAAACGAUAAAUUAUGGAUUAUAAGAUAGAUUGUUGAAAAUGCAUGAUUAAAAUAUGAUUUAGAGUUGACUAUUUUAGUAUUGACAUUUAGAAUUAUAAUGUUAUCACAUGGUGAGAAAUACGAAUACUUACCAAUCACAAAAGUUUAAGGUAUAUUUGUAUUCGAAAGAAUUGAACAUGAAGCUGGCAUAUAAGACUCGAUACAAAUAACUCUUUUGAGGUUAUAUGAUACUUGUAUAUUUCAAUGGCUUAUUUAUUGGGAUGAAAGUUACAAAAGAAAGCUAUUGAAUCUUAAUACCACUACAACAAAACAAUGAUUUAGCGAUAAGAUUUUUUGCGACAUACAAAAAGUUGUCGCAAGAAGUGACUUAACGCGACACAUUUUUAAAGUUUGUCGUGAAGAUUGUGAUGAAAAAAAUAUGUACCAAAAACUAUUUUACGACAUAAAAAGUUGUUGUGAAAUGUGAGAUGUUGCGACAAAUAAUAAAGAUUGUCACCAAAAAUAUGAGGGAAGCAAGGCACCAAAAUAUUUUUGCUGUGAAAUUUAUGGCGACAAACUUCUUUUCUUGCAACAAAAUGCUUAUGAUGCAAUAGGGUCUCCUCUUGGCGAUAAAAAAAUAUUUUUUUCUAAAAAUUCUAUAGUUGGAGGAAAAAAAGGCUACAAGAAUAUAACUUUUUUGCAGCGGACAAAAAAUAUUGCAGUAGAUUUUUUACAAUCCUCACCCAUAUAUGUCGACCCUAAUAUUGUCGUAGAGUUGAAGGAUACUGCAAUGUGCAAUACAUGCCGCAAAAGACCUCAAAUGUAAGUGUUCAUGAAAUAUUUCUUUCGACUUAAAAUUAUUGCAAGUGUAUGAUUCGUUAGCAAGUAAUAAAGUUGAAUGUUAAGUUCUGAGUAUCGUUACACAGAGAUUGAGUAGUUUAAUUCUAACUAUUUUAACCUUAAUCGAAACAAAUUUUUCAAAACAGGAAUUUAUUCUCAGAAAAACCCUAAUUUAGUAAAACCCUAAUUAUUGAAACUUGAUGAUUGGAAUGAACUCAAUAUGCAAAACAACAUUUUAUAGAAUUAAAAUGCAAAUUAUACGUUUGGAAUGCAAAUUGGCUGUGUUCAAUGAAAACUAAAAGCACUAGAAUCACGAAUUUCUAUGUAAUGAUCACUCUUAACCCUAAUUUCACAAAAUGACAACACGAUUAAAUUAUUGACGAAUCAAUGCUCCUAAUUCUAUUCAACACUCUCUCUCGAGAUGUAUUAAACGUAUUCUUAUACACCACCGGCCUAUAUCUCUAUAACAAAUGCAUAUAUAAGAAUGCAUGUGGUUUUAUGAACAUCUAAAGAUUCACGCAAAGCAUAGGGGUAUAUCUCUAUCCCGUAUCGGACCCUACGUCGAUUUAUACCUUGUCAAAUUUAUUUCUCUUCUCUCGAACAGAUAAAAUAAACCACCAAAUAUCACAUAAUUACGUACACUUAAUUAUGGAGGAAAAUUAUUGUAUAUAAAUCAUUCAAACAUUCAAAUACAUGUUUAUUGUCAAAUUGCAAACUAGAAAUUAAAGAAAUUAUAUCAUAUUGUACAUUGAUCUCCCAGUACAUGAAAACCUAGCCCAACAUGAAGAAAAUUACAAAAUACACGAUAAAUUGUAGAGAAAGCAUCACUAGGUUAUGAAUUUGCUUGAAAUCUUGAUGAUCUUCGUGUAAGUUCUUGUUACUUUAGCUCAAAAUCCUCUCCAAGAUGUGUUUUCUUGUCUCCCAAUGCGUUCUGUCUCGAAAUAUGAUAGCUUUAGGUUUAUUAUAUUGCUUCCAAAUCACGUUCCAAUAGAAUUAUAACACAAAACAGAAACUGCAGAAUCGUCCCGAAUUUUUACACCAUGCGACCGCAUGGUUGAACCUAUUUUGGGAUUUUAAAUCUCGGGUGGGGGUUGUGCGAUCGCAUGGUUAUAACACCAUGUGACCGUAUGGUGUAAACCUUCCAAUUUGUGCUGUUUUAGUCCACAAACUCAAUCCUCUUGUUUAUUGGCCUCUUUUCUUCGACUAUUUUAUUCCAUCCUCUCAUAUUGACCUCCAAUUGGUACUUGUUACUAUCAAUUCUUUGAUUGCUCCCUUGGCUCAUCUUGUGGAUAUAUGCACUUUGGUCCUCGAAUUAUCACUUUGAUUCAUUUUGGUCCUUUUCACUUAUUUUUCUCGUGAAUUCCAUCAACUCUAUUAGAAAACCCUACAAUCCAAGACUCAAGAGAAUUUAGGUCACAUUCCAAACGUUUUGCUCGUAUUUUAGUCAUGUUUGUGAGUUAUAUAAGUGUAUAAAAACGCACUUAUCAACUCCCCCAAACUUUAACUGUUGUUUGUCCUCAAACAAGAUAGUAACUUAAAUCUCAACAAUCAUGACUCAAUAAUCUGCCAUAUCUCAGGAUUGGAAUUCAGUGAUUAACACAAGAAACAGUUUCAACAGUGUUAGAAUAGAAUUUACCUUUACUUGUCGGAUGCAAGACUCAUCCUGUGUAUGUGAUUUCAUACAAUCAUAGCAAGCUCAUGAUUGGUUCAUUCCCGACCCCAAAAUGGUCAAAUAUAUUCUUAAUUCGCUCGAGAGAUACACAACCCCCAACUUAUUCUUUUCACUCAAUUAUUUCAGGGUUGUGCUUUAAAGUUAAGGGUUUGGGUAACUGUAGUCCUUACCCUCUCUUUGUUUGGAUAGAUCUCACCAUCACAGGUUCGCAUGUCAACAAAUGAAGGCUCUCCUAGAUUUGAUUGCUUUAACACUCAAGAUUAAACUAAGUUACUUGCCUCGCCUUGAAGGUGUGAUUUUUAUCAACCAAAUGUCCAAAGGCUUCUUCUAUACUAUCGUACUCUGUAUUUUUCAUUAAUUUUUUUUAUGUCAUCUUCUCAUUUGCUUUCUAUAUGACCCCUGUAGCGAGCUUUAGGCCGGUGACUUCCAACCCAAUUGGCUUUAGGGCAUGAGGUUUUAAACCAUUGCAUGCUUAUUCACUCGAGUUAUAAGGGCUCGAUCAGAUUUUUUUUAUUAAUAUCUUUCCCUCUUGCUUUCUAUAUGACCUUUGUAACGAGCGUUGGGCCGGUGUCUCUCAAACCAGUCGGCUUUAGGGCACUAGAUUUCGAGAUAUCCUUAAAGGCUUACUUGCUUGAGUCAUAAGGGCUUGGAAAUGUGUCAUAUUUUCGUAACCUAAAAUUAUGCCCAUUUUUAUUUUUUCUAGACAUUUGGUCUCUAGAAUCAACCCCCCAAUUGAAGAGUUUCUCCUAGUUUUCAUCUCACAUGUCUAGACAAUCCACACAGCAUUACAUGCACGAAGCCCCAACUUAUCUCAAUGUUCCCAUAUAAUUGUUAAACCAUCUCCAAUUUAUUCAACAAUUUUUGGUUUAUUAAUCAAAUCGAGGUUUUCUGGUUUCUCCUGCUUUAUUCAAACCUAAUUACUCACUUGACAUGUAUGGCAUGAGUGGCGUGCAUAUGAAAUGUCAAGUACUACCUCAACAAGUAUCAGUUAAUCAAAUUUUGCACUAUAUUCACAGUUCCUAACACAUAUGUAUUCUAAUAAUCACAUCAUUGUCGGUAAGGCUAUCAAACCCAAAAUGCAUGCAAUGAACUUAAUAGAGCAUAUUGAUACAAUAAUCACUCAUCAAGCACACAAUAUGCAACCAGUGUCAAAAGAUUGAUGGAUUGUGAUCGUUUAAAAAAGGAUUACAUUACAUGCCGAUAAUUUAGUUUCCAAAAGAGUCAUGUUCAAAAUAUACCACCACCCCCAAACUUAUACAAUACAUUGCCCACAAUGUGAAAAAUAAAGGCUUCAAGAGACAUAAUUUGAAGGACAAGUGCAACUUAGAGUUAGCAAAUUAGUUAAAUAAAACUCCCUUGAUCACUAUGGUGGUGGUGACUGGUAGCUACGUCCUACGGUGUCGUUGCUCGGUAGAUGUGGAAAAUGAGCCAAGAUGUGCCUCAGUAGAUCUGACUGCUUGACUUACUCUGCUUACAUGGCUCUCAUCAUGCUACUCCGUGCUCUAACUUCGCCUUCCAUGCUAUGCAUUUGGUCCAAAGUGUCGUUCACUCUUUUCUGUAUUCCAUCCAUUCUACCCACAUAUAUGCUCAGUUGCUCGUUCAUAGUUUCCAUCUCCCGUCUAGCUGAUCGGGCCUCCUGAUACGUAGUCUGUGCUGUGGUUUGAGUGGUACUAAUAUCACGUCGGGCUGUCUGCAUGUUGGUCAUCAAAGACCUUGGAGCUUGCUGGAUCUCCUCUAUAUCGCGAUUGGUUCUUGUGAGAGUCGUAAACAUCUGAUGCAGUAAUUGUGUAUCAGCUCCCAUAGGUGGUGGUGGUGGUGCCUGGGACAUCUCAUCAUCGUUGGGUCCCUGGUCCUGUGCAACCUACUGCUGUCUUCAUCGUUCACUCUCUUGUUCGUCCCGAUGUCUUAUCCGAGCUCGCUCUUGAGCCUCAAAUGUAGUACGCUUUAUUGGAGGGCUGGGUUUUUUAGACACCUCCUCUGGUAAAAUUGUAACACCCCGACAUAUGCCGUUGAUGAGGCUCGGGAAGACCAAAGUGGUACGUCGAUCCCGCCAAGUGUCUAAGGUGUGGAUUUGAUUGUAGAUAAGGGUGGCGAGGUCUAUUUUGCAAUCUCGAACCAGAUGAUAAAUAAAGCCUGUUGUUUGAUCAGGAAAUGUGAUUCUUUGUUAUCUGGGCUUGAUGUUGUGAUACAUGAAGAGCCAUAGUAUGGCUGUAGAUGGUGUGAGCUCUAUUUGAUGCCAUUCAGCAGUUGCUAGGGGCCAUGCAUUUUUCUGUCCCAACAAAACCUCAGCUACUUCAUGCCAGUUGAAUUCGGUGGGGAUGGGAACCACAUUUUCUAUGUUUAGCUGAUAAUAAUCAUGGAUAACAUCUGAGGAGAACAUAAUCCAUUUCCCUUGCAUCCAUGUCUGAUGUAUAUGCUCUAAACCUGGGGUGUCGAUUUUACUAUUGAAAUUUGCAAAGAACUCUCGGACUAGAUUCUCAUAAACUGGGUGAGGUCUCUCAAUUCUGGACCAAAUUCACCAAUUCAAACUCGAGAAAUCUUCAAGUUUAACUGGUCUUUCAGGGUUCAUUGUCCAGUGGUGUAUGAUGUUCUCAUAUCGGGCAAUGGUUUCAGCACUGAAGAACCUCUAUAAUUUAUCUUCGAGUUCUCUAGUUCUCACAGUUCCGGAAUAUGAGCCAACUUUUUCCUUGCCCUUUGAAGUUCUUUUCAGCGGCAUCCUGCAAAAAAUAAUAUUUUCAAUGUCAAAACCAUAGAAUGCAAUGAAAAAGUAUGUCGAAAACACGAAAAUCAACUUUAGAUGCACGAAUUUCCCAAACUUACUCCUAGAUGCAUGUAUAACACGUUAAUGUGCAAUAUUCAAGAUAUGAUGUUCACGAUAGUGGAAAUAUUGCGCAAAUAGGAAAAAUAACAAAAUUAGGCUCAAACAUGCACAUUAUGAAAAUUUGACCCAUGACCGAGUGCGCACUUUUGACCCCGAGCAUCGUUGAAAAAUAUCGAAAUUUUUUCAGGCCAUCUCUGGGCAUAUGGAAGUAUUCAAUGUAGUCUAUCACAUAUUCAAAUUCCAAAUUGAUCGGAUGUCAUUUGGUGAGGUAAAUGAAUGGGCCAAGUAGGUAACGCAGGGUGCUGUGACUUGGCCAUGUAUUGCUACAUUAUGCAAGUUGGGGUUUUAUGUUUUUCAUAGCCUUUCAUGUGAUAUCUCAUUAUCGAAUUGUUAUUCACGUUAAUUGUACGGCAUGACAAAAUCAAAGUUGACAAAAUUGUAUAAAGCUUGUCACUUAGGCAUUUGAUCGAACAUAUUGUGUGCACUAUCAUCAAUUCCAUUCUAUGAAUGAUUGGCAAAGUGUAAUCACCCACAAUGCAUAAACACAAAUCAAUGUUAAAAUCUAAGCCUACUUACACCCUUUCACCUCAAUUUCCAAUUGUAAAUUAUAAGUACCUACAAACUGAAAUCUAAAGGAGGAGAAGAGAUAAAGUUCAUGCCUUGAUUUUGAUAUGAAUGUGUGGAUGUAUGAAGGAAUGAAGGAUGAUUCAUGAUUUUUUUUGGAUGUGUGCAUGUAUUUUGGGGAUUUCGCGCUUAGGGUUUGAGAGAUGAGUAAAAGGGGAAUGGGGAAUAAUUGCCAAGUUACGGGUUAAAAACCCGUAACUGGCUUUGCCAUACGGCCGCAUGGCAUUAAUCCAUGCGGUCGCAUGGUAUGGAGAUCACCCAAAAAGAUUUUUUGGUAGGUAUCCAUGCGAUCGCAUAGACACUUUUUCUAUGUGAUUGCUUAGACAAAUUUUUUUUAACUAAUGAUUAUGAAAAUGUACCACACACCUAAUUCUCAAAAACACGACUCAAAUCACUUUUUCCCAAAUUUUUUGAUUUUCAAUUGGUAAAUUUGAUCUAGCAUCUUCUAUGCUUGAAAAGUUUUGAAAAUAUAUUACGCAAUGUGGGAUAUGUGCUGGCCUAUAGACUUAGUACCAAAACCAAUUUUCGAAUUGAAUUCAAACCACACUUUGGACAAUUUUAUGAAAAAUGAUUGUGUGCCUCGAAAUGCGUGAGUAUCACACCCAAUCACCCAACAACAACUUCAAUCUGUCUUAACUCGUGCUUAAUGUCUGGGGACUCAUGUGAACGGUGCUUAGACUCUAUUGACACAAGGAUGAUCGAUGACUUAACUAAAAAUGCAAGCAUGAAAUGCAAAGAUAAAAUAAAUCAAAGGAUACAGUGGGUUGCCUCCCACUCAGCGCUAGUUUAUAGUCGAUAGCUUUAACUCUUCCACUUCUGCAUCAAUUAGGCAUUCCGAGUUGAACGGUGGACUUUUGCCUGGAGAAGUCGCUGCCCCAGUAGUGUUUCAGUCUUUGCCCAUCAACUGUGAAUGUUCCCUUUGUUUCAUGGCCGGCCUAUAUAGCUCCAUAUGGCGAAACUUUAGUGACAGUGUAAGGGCCCGACCAUAUUGAUCUUAAUUUUCUAAGGAAGAGUUUGAGUCUCGAGUUAUAUAAUAGGACUUUCUGCCCCACUUCGAACUCUCGUCCCUGAAUAUGUAGAUCAUGCCACUUUUUGGUACAUUCUUUGAUAAGCUUUGAGUUUUCAUAGGCUUCCAUUCUAAAUUUAUCUAACUCAUUGAGCUGCAAUAAAUGAUUUUCAUCGGCGGCCUUCAAAUCCAUGUUCAACUAUUUCAUAGCCCAAUAUGCCUGGUGUUCUAUUUCUAGUGGAAGGUGGCACGCUUUUCCAAAAACUAGGCGGAAUGGAGACAUGCCUAUCGGUAUCUUAAAUGCUAUCCUAUAUGCCAACAAUGCAUUCUCCAACUUUUUAGGCCAGCCUUUUUGGGAGGAAUUCACUGUGACCUCUAAUAUUCUCUUCAGCUGUCGAUUGGACACUUCGACUUGCCCGCAUGUUUGUGGAUGAUAUGGGGUUGCUACACGGUGUUUAACUCCAUAUAUACUCAAAAUUGCUCGAAUUGGCGAUUGCUAAAGUGUUUGCCCCCGUCAUUGAUUAUUGCCCGUGGUGUGCUAUAUCUGGUAAAGAUGUAUUUCUUCAAGAACCCAAUUACCAUUUUUGCGUCGUUCGUUGGCAAUGCAACUAUUUCCACCCAUUUCGACACAUAAUCAACCACUACUAGGAUGUACUGAUUUGAAAACGAUGGGGAAAAACGGUCCCAUAAAAUCGAUUCCCCAGACGUCAAAUAUCUCGACCUCCAAUAUGCUGUUUAAUAGCAUCUCAUUUCUUCUUGAGAUGUUUCUAGUGUGUUGACAUCUAUCACACCUCUUAACAAACUCAAAGGUGUCUCUAGACAAUGUAGGCCAAUAGAAUCCUGAUUCUAAGAUCUUAGCGACAAUCUAUGAAGCUCUCAGGUGCCCCGCAUAGGCAGAUGAAUGACAAUGCUCAAGAAUUUCAGGCCCUUCAUCUUCAGGUAUACACCUUCUCACAAUUUGAUCAACCCCUAGCCUAUAAAGAAUAGGGUCUUCCCAAAAAUAAUAUUUCAGUUCGACAAAGAACUUCUUCUUCUAGUGACUUGAGUAAUCUGAUGGUGGGAUUGACUUAGUCAAAUAAUUGAUGUUAUCUGCAUACAAUGGGGCUUCUUCCACACUGAACAUUUGCUCAUCUGGAAAAAUUUCAUUGAUUUCCACUGACACCUCUGGUUCUUCUUGUUCUAAUCUCGAUAGGUGAUCUAUCACCACAUUUUGACUACCCUUCUUGUCCCUAAUUUCAAUGUCGAAUUCUUGCAGCAGUAUUACCCAACGGAUUAAUCUCGGCUUAGCAUCUUUAUUUGUUAUUAGAUACUUCAAUGUAGCAUGAUCUGUGUAGACUAUGACCUUAGACCCCACGAGAUAUGAUCUGAAUUUGUCAAAGGCAUAGACCACCACCAAGAGAUCCUUCUUAAUGGUUACGUUGUUGAUCUGGGCAUCAUUCAAUGUUCCGCUUGAGUAAUAGAUCUCAUGGAAGAUCUUGUUCUUUCGUUGUUCCAAUACUGCACGUACGAUAUGAUCAUUGACAUCACACAUUAACUCAAAAGGCAACUCCCAAUCAGGUGCUACAAUUACCAGCACUGAUGUAAGUUUCUCCUUCAAAGUGUUGAAAGUUGUCAGACAUUCCUCAUUAAAUUCAAAUGGCACAUCUUUCAUUAACAGGUUGUAGAGGGUCUUGGUGAUUUUUGAAAAAUCCUUUAUGAAUCUCCUGUAAAAUCCAGCAUGUCCCAAGAAGCUGCAAAUCCCUUUAACUGAUGUUGGUGGCGGUAACUUUUUAAUAACUUGAAUCUUUGCUUUGUCCACCUCAAUCCCUUUUGUUGAGACCCGAUGCCCAAGUACAAUCCCUUCUUGCACCAUGAAGUGAAAUUUUUUUCCAGUUUAGUACUAAAUUUGUUUCUUUGCAUCUUUUUAAUACUAGAUUCAAGUGUUCCAAUCACUCGUCAACGAAGACCCGAAAAUCAAGAAGUCGUCCAUAAAUAUCUCUAUAAAUUUCUCUACCAUGUCUGAGAAAAUCUCCAUCAUACGAUGUUGAAAAGUGGUAGGGGCAUUGCAAAGGUCGAAAGGCAUCUUGCGGUAUGCAAAAGUACCAUACGGGCACGUGAAUGCAGUUUUCUCUUGAUCGUCUGGUGCCAAUGGUAUCUGAUUGUAACCUAAAUACCCGUCAAGAAAGCAAGUAAUGUGAGUGGCCUGCCAAGCUCUCUAGCAUUUGGUCUAUAAACAGAAGGAGAAAGUGAUCUUUUCUUGUUGCUGUAUUGAGUUUGUGAUAAUCAAUACAAAUCCUCCAUCUUGUGACUAUUCUGGUCAGUAUCAGCUCAUUCUUCUCAUUGGGUACUAUCGUUCUUCCUCAUUUCUUUGACACCACCUGAAUUGGGAUAGUCCAUGCACUGUCUGAUAUCGGAUAGAGAUUCUAGCAUCUAGAAGUUUGAGUAUCUCUGCUCUGACGACUUCCUUCAUAUUUGGGUUCAACCUUCGCUGACUUUCUAUGGUUGGCCAAAAAUUCUCUUCCAUAAGAAUCUUAUGCAUGUAUAGUGAAGGGUUGAUCCCUUUGAUAUAUGUUAUGGUCCAUCCAAUUGCAGUCUUAUUCUUCUUGAGUACUCUAAGCAGUUUCUCCUCUUCCACUUCGCUGACUAUGUUCGAGAUAAUCAUUGAAGUAUACACGACUCCCCCAAGUAUGCAUAUCUGAGAUGAGGUGGUAGCUGCUUGAGUUCUAAUUUCGACGGCUGCUAAAUGGACGAUAGUGGUUUUGUGGGUCCUGUCCCAAGCUCCUCAAAAUAUCUUUUUCGUGUGUACGGUGGGUUAGUAUCUAAAAAUCUUGUAUAUGUUUCCAUCUCCACUGAAUUGGAGUGCGUUGAUUAUGAAUGUGCAAUGCAAACUUUAUACGCAUCUAAUGGGUUAUGAAGCAAGAAUGAGUUUUGGACCACCUUGUCAAUCACAUCAAUCUAGAAAUAGUUAUAUGUCUCUGUAUGCAGUUUUAUUGCCUUGAAGACAUUAAACGAGAUCUGCUCUUUUCCCUGUCUCAAAAUUAAUUGCCCGUCCUGAACGUCGAUUAAGGUUCUUCCUGUUGCCAAAAAUGGUCUGCCCAGUAUCAAUGGAAUGUCUUUGUCCUCUUCCAUGUCCAAAAUUACGAAAUCCGCAAGGGAUUUGAAAAUUUCCACCUUGACAAGUACGUCUUCAAUUAUUCCCCUGGGAUGUGUUAAUGACCUGUCAGCUAGCUGUAGCGUUACAAUAGUCAUCUUAGCCUCUCCUAAGCUAAGCUUUCUGAAAAAGAGAUAAAGGCAUUAAAUUUAUACUUGCACCAAGAUCACACAAAGCUUUAUCAAAAUAAACUUUACCAAUCGUACAAAGAACAGUAAAACUCCCUCGAUCUUUCAAUUUUGGUGGGAUCUUUUUCUAAAUUUUGGUACUGCAUUCCUUUGUUGGCAUUAUUGUCUCAUGGUCCCCUAGCUUGCAUUUAUUUGAUAGUAUGUCCUUCAGGAACUUUGCAUAGCUAGGCAUUUGGAACAGUGCAUCGACGAGUGGGAUAUUGAUAUGGAGUUUCUUGAAAACUUCAAGAAAUUUCUUGUGUUGUUGCUCCAACUUUUGCUUCUUUAGCGUUGUGGAAACGGUAUCGAGUUGCUUUACCCUACGUUUUGCUUGGUUUUUCAACUGCGGCGAAUUCCUCUAUCUGAUCAUCAUGCUCCAUUAGUUCUUCUAUCGUUGGAGAUUCUAUUUCAUGAUGUACACCUGACUUUUUACAUGAAUUUCUGGUAGCUGCUUCCACUUCGAGUUGUAAUUGCCCUAGCAUGCUCCUUCGAUUUAUUUUCGUGUCACUCGAUAGACUGGUUGGGGCUCGGCCAGUCAAAGCAACUGCCAACUAUCCCAUUUGAGUCUCUAAAUUUUUUAUUGUUGCAUUCUGGUCCUGAAGAGUGGCUUCGAUUUUCCUCAUGAAUUGAUUGUUAACUUCCAUAUACUGAUUAGUUUUCUCCAUGAAUUUAACAAACAUCUCUUCCAAUUGAGACUUUUUCUCUGGCUGCUGAUAUUGACCCUGCGGUUCAUUCUGGUUUUGAUUGCUCCAAGAGAAAUUUGGGUGCUUUGUCCAACUUGAAUUGUAUGUUUCCCCAUAUGUGUUGUUUUGCUGCCGCUGUCCCCAUUGAGUAAAAUCUGCCUGCUCUACUCCUUGUACCAAGAUUAGACAUUCUGUUGUUACGUGUUCAGCUCCAUAUUCUUCACAACUGGCCAUCUUCGACUGUGCUGUGGUGGUUGAUUGUGUCAUGUUCUCUACCUUGUGAAAUAAUAGAUCAAUAUUUGCUGACAAGGUAGAGUAAACGUCCAUUUCAUAAACCCUCGGUGUUUUCUUUUGCACUGCUCAUUCCGAUGUCCACACAGCUCAAAUGGUAGCCAUAGUCUCAAAAAGUUUCAGUGCCUCAUCAAUUGUCUUUGUGGACAACGAUCCAUUAGAAGAUGAAACAACCAUGCUUUUGAAGGUUGGGAGUAAUCCCUCAUAGCAAUAUUGGACUUGAAGUCCCUUGCUAAUUCCAUGGUGUGGACACUUUCACAGCAUAUUCUUGAACCUAUUCUAGGCUUCAUUGAAAUUCUCCAAGUCACCUUAGCGAAAAAUAAAGAUGCCGUGCUUGAGCUUCGCAAUCUUAGUAGGUGGGAAGAACUUAGUGUAGAAUUUCUGGGCUAGAUCAUUCCAUGUGGUGAUGCUUGCGAUUGGUUGUGAAUCUAGCCAUUCAAUUGCCUUGUCGUGCAGUGUAUGUGGGAACAACCUUAAUCUUAUUGCAUCGUCUGAGAUUUCUUGAUAUCUAAAGUGUUGGCAUAUCUCCAGAAAAUGAGAAACAUUUAUAUGUGGAUUCUCUUCAGUCCUUCCACAGAAUUGAUGGCUAUUUUCAAAUAAUUGUAUCACAUUAGCCUUCAGUUGGAAGUUCGGCUGUCCAAACGGUGGAUAUACGAUGCUUGACUGGCUUUGAAUUAUUUGAGGGGUCAUGAAAUCUCCCACGAGCAUAUUUUCUUCAUCCGCUAUCCCUUCUUCAUUGGCCUAAAAAAUUGGAUUAUUCUGCACAUUAGCCAUUGUUGAUGUGCCUCUCUAUUUUCUCGCUGCCUUCGAUAUAGAGUUCAUUCGAUUUCUGGAUCAGUUAGGAUCAAUUCUCCUUCAGCAGACCUUAACGUGUAAAUCUGUGAGAAGAGUUAAAAGAAGUGAUUAGAUGUUAAAAUGAAAUAUUAAAUAGAACAAAUAAAAAUGAAAUUGAAUAAAAUGAAAUAAAACACAACAAAAUAACAGAAAAUGCAAAGAUGAAUGUUCGAAUUAGUGCCAAUAUAAAUAAAAUUAAACGGAUACCCAAUCCUUGACAACAGCGCCAAAAACUUGUUCACGAAAUAUUUCUUUAGACUUAAAAUUACCACAAAUGUAUGGUUCGUUAACAAGUAAUACAGUGAAAUGUUAAGUUUCGAGUUUCCUCCUACAGAGACUAAGUAGUUCAAUUCUAACUAUCUUUUCCUUAACCGAAACAAAAUUUUCAAAGCAGGAAUUUAUUCUCGAAAAAACCCUAAUUAUUGAAACUUGAUGAUUGGAAUGAACUCAAUAUGCAAAACAAUAUUUUAAAGAAUUAAAAUGCAAAUUAUAUGUUUAGAACAUAAAUUGGUUGUAUUCCAUGAAAAUUAAAAGCACUAGGAUCACGAAUUCCCAUGCAACGAUCAUUCUUAACCCUAAUUUCUCAAAAUGACAACACGGUUGAAUUAUUGACGAAUCAAUGCUAAUAAUUCUAUUCAACACACACUCUCUCUCAAGUGUAUUGAACAUAAUCUUGUACACCACCGGCCUAUAUCUCUAUGAGAAAUGCAUAUAUAAGAAUGCAUGUAGUUUUAUGAACAUCUAAAGAUUCAUGCAAAAUAUAGGGGUAUAUCUCUAUCCCAUAUCGGAUCCUAUGACGAUUUAUACCUUGUCAACUUUAUUUCUUUUCUCUUGAACAGAUGAAAUAAACCACCAAACAUCACAUAAUUAUGUGCACUUAAUUAUGGAGGAAAAUUAUUGUAUAUAAAUUAUUCAAAUAUUCAAAUACGUGUUUAUUGCCAAAUUGCAAACUAGAAAUUAAAGAAAUCACAUCAUAUGGUACAUCAAAAUCCUAGUACAUGAAAACCUAACUUAUCAUGGAGAAAAUUACAUAAUACAAGAUAAAUUCUAGAAAAAGCAUCAUCGGGUUAUGAAUUUGCUUGAAAUCUUGAUGAUCUUCGUGUAAAUCCUUGUUAAUUUGGCUCAAAAUCCUCUCCAAGAUGUUUUUUCUUGCCUCCGAAUACGUGCUGCCUUGAAAUAUGAUGCCUCUAGGUUUUUAUAUUGCGUCCAAAUCGUGUUCCAAUAGAGUUAUAACGCAAAACGAAAACUGUAGUAUCGCCCCGAAUUUUUAUACCAUGCGGCCAUGUGGUUGAACCUAUUUUGCGGUUUUAAUUCUUGGGUGGGGGUUGUGCGGCCGCAUGGUUAUAACACCAUGCGACCGCAUGGAUAAUGAGUUUCCAAUUUGUGUCGUUUUAGUCCCCAAACUCAAUCUUCUUGUUUAUUGAUCUCUUUUCUUCGACUAUUUUAUUCCAUCAUCUUAUAUUGACCUCUAAUUGGUACUUGGCACUAUCAAUUCUUCGAUUUCUCCUUUGGCUCUCUUCUGGAUAUUUGCACUUUGGUCGCUGAACUAUCACUUAGAUUUGUUUUGGUCAUUUUUGCUUCUUUUUCUCGUGAAUUUCAUCAACUCCAUCAGAAAACCCUACAAUCCAAGACUCCAGCGAAUUUAGGUCACAUUUCAAAUAUUUUGCUCGUAUUUUAGUCAUAUUUGUGAGUUAUAUAAGUGCAUAAAAUGCGCUUAUCAGUAAGUUGUUGUAAAGUUUUUACGAUGUAACUUAUUCAUUGAUUUUUUUUUUUAACAUUCUUUGCUUGCUUUCUUAAUUUUUUUCUAAUUUUUUUUCCUUUAAUUUUUGCAAUAAGCGUUUGUUUUUUUUUCCGUCCAGCUAAAUUUUAAUGUGUAAUACAAAUUUUUAAAAAUUUUAAUUAUUUUUUGUCAAGAGCAAAAUUUUUAUAAUAAAAGCUAUAUAAAAUUUAUAAAACAAUUGAUUGCCAAAAAAAUUAAGAAAAAAGCCUUAGAUGAUUAAACUUUCAAUCACAUAAUAACUUACAAAAUUAGAAAUACUAGGUCGAACUAAUCCAUAAAGGAAAAUAGUUGUCUCAACAAUUAAAGCAAAUAAAUAAAUAAAUCAUAAUUCAUAUAUUAUCAGUAGGUGGUGACAUACUAAUCAUUGUUGCUGUUCAGCUUGUUGUGGAGACAUGCUGACUUGACUCGAUACGAACUUAUGCAUUAGUGCCUCAAAUUGAGAAAUCUUAGCAUGCAUAUCCAAUAAUCCUUGCUCUUGCUUUUGUAUUUGCUCUCGAAGGGCUAUUGAUUUAGUAUCAAUCGAUGUCAAAUAAGCAGAGUUUCUUGAGACAGGUUUGGGACCAUGUCCAAGUCCUCUAAUGUAACCUCUAGAUUUUCCUAAAACUUCUUGCAUAAUCUCAAGUUCAGUGGGGGCCUCAGAUCCCUCUGGAAUAGGUUUCUCUUUAAUUUGAAGCAUCCUCUCCCAUAUAUAAGUAAAAAAGAAGUAGAGAGAAUACAAGUUAAUAUAUAUAUAUAAAAUGUCUAUAACAACGAAUAAAUUGUUAAUAUACUUACAUAUCUUGUGUGCUUCAUCAUUUACCCCCCCUUCUCACUGUAAUGAGUCUCAUAAUAAAGUUCUAUUUCUCCUUGUACAUUGUCUUUAGUAAUUGAUUUCUAUUUGAAAUAAUAUAUAUCAUGUUAUAUAUUUGUCUUCAUAAAAAAAAAUGUAUUACCUUUUCUUGAAGACAUGCAACAAAUGAUUUUGAUACACCACGAUGAUUAUAUUUAAUGCAGUUGUGGCUUGCUAGAUUACGUGUAGAUAGUGCAUGUAAUUAAUUUAUAUAUAAAUAUAAUUAACUCAUUAUAAUUUAUUAUUUUUAAUUAUAUUAAUUAUUUUAAGAUAACAUCUAAAUUACAUUAUUCUUAAUAUUUACAAGUAUAUGCAUUUUUAAUUAAAGUUACUUGAAAUUCAGGGGUACACCAAUAUUGAGACAACCAGUCCCAAUCAACUUGCUUUAUGCCAGUUGGGUAGUUCUUCAUUGCAUCAUCUGAUGUUUUUCCAUUGAAAUAUUUCUCUUUGAGUCUACAUCUAUAAUCAUGAUAUCUUGUCGCUAAAGUAUCUUUCACAUAUUUAUGGACAUGCUCAACUGUCAAAUCAAACUUGAAUUUUGCCUACCAAAAAAGAAAUGUGUAUAUUAUUUAUUUAAAUAUGGGAAACUAAAAACUAUUCUACAAAGUUUUGUAAAAAUGAAUUUGUUUAUGACUUAAAAAAGCUUGAUCAUAUAAUUUAUUUUUCUCUUCAUUGGGUAUGUCGAUCCAUCUUUUGUAACAAGUGGAGCAAAGGAGCGAACGAGCCACAUUCACUAGCCAAACGUGCUUGCUGAUUUCCAAUAGCUCUUUCUAGUUUUUAAGAAAUCUCCCAUGAUAUUUUUCCAGCUGUACUAUCAAUGUCAUCAGUGCACUUAUCUCUUGUAGGACCACGUCCCUUCCUCUUCAAAGAAUGAGAAUCUAUGAAAUAAUUUACUCUAAGGAUCAGAAUAUAUAAACAAAAAAUUAGAUUCUAUCAAUUAAAUGUAUACAUUGGGAUGGUUUUAUAUUAUAAACAUAAAGAUAAAUUGUUACCAUUGGAAUUGAGGAUGGUCUCAUCUGCCAAUGUGGUUUUUUGUGAUGAAUUAAGUUGUGGCUGGGGCUGAGAUAAUGGGGCAGGAACCUGUAGAGGUUGAGGUAAAGGAGUAGGAACUUGAGCAUUACUAGUCUUUGAGAAUGAGGAAGAGAUAUUAGCUUGAAGAGUAGUAUGGGUUAAUGUACCUUUGCAUGAUGCCUUUGACGAGAACACAUCUGAAGUGGCUCAUAAGAUGUAGUAAAAACUCUAUUUUUCUAGCCAAUUCUUGUUCGAAAAGCCGUUAUCUACCAAGAAAACCCCCAAAAGAGAGAGAGAGAUAUCAUUUUUAACCAAAAAAUGGGUCUCCAUUCUUGCAAAUUCUUGUUCGAGAAGCCAUUAUCUACCAAGAGACAUAAAUGAUAAUAAAAUCUUGAAGACAAUUAAAUUUAGUUAUUUUUAAAAAAAGAAAAUAAAAUGAUUUAUUUCUUGACGAUAGGACAACUUCUUCUUAAUUUUCAUGGCUUUUCUCUGCAUUUAAUUCUUUGAUCCCAACUGGAUAUCUUUAUUUCAGUUGUAGACAAACCCAUCUAUUAUUUUCACCAUUAACCAAACAAAAAAUAAUGCACCACUCUUUUCAUUCACAAUGCCUUCCAAAUAACGUAAUGAUGUCAACUUAACUCCUAAAAGAAAUCAGUUGUCUUGCAGCUUCAUUGAUGAGCUCAUUUUAGUUAAAAGAUGACUAACCCACAGAUAUCUUCAAGAAUGGUGAGGAAAUUAUAUUACACAUCCUAAAUGUAGUCCACCUAUAAGCUAUACAUGACAUGAUUAAUGAACUAAAAUUUGUACAAUAUGGCCGUUGGUAUAUAUAUAUACACACACACACACACACACACACACACACACACANNNNNNNNNNNNNNNNNNNNNNNNNNNNNNNNNNNNNNNNNNNNNNNNNNNNNNNNNNNNNNNNNNNNNNNNNNNNNNNNNNNNNNNNNNNNNNNNNNNNNNNNNNNNNNNNNNNNNNNNNNNNNNNNNNNNNNNNNNNNNNNNNNNNNNNNNNNNNNNNNNNNNNNNNNNNNNNNNNNNNNNNNNNNNNNNNNNNNNNNNNNNNNNNNNNNNNNNNNNNNNNNNNNNNNNNNNNNNNNNNNNNNNNNNNNNNNNNNNNNNNNNNNNNNNNNNNNNNNNNNNNNNNNNNNNNNNNNNNNNNNNNNNNNNNNNNNNNNNNNNNNNNNNNNNNNNNNNNNNNNNNNNNNNNNNNNNNNNNNNNNNNNNNNNNNNNNNNNNNNNNNNNNNNNNNNNNNNNNNNNNNNNNNNNNNNNNNNNNNNNNNNNNNNNNNNNNNNNNNNNNNNNNNNNNNNNNNNNNNNNNNNNNNNNNNNNNNNNNNNNNNNNNNNNNNNNNNNNNNNNNNNNNNNNNNNNNNNNNNNNNNNNNNNNNNNNNNNNNNNNNNNNNNNNNNNNNNNNNNNNNNNNNNNNNNNNNNNNNNNNNNNNNNNNNNNNCCCUAGAUCCAAUCGAUUUAGGUUGUAAACGCCUUUAAUAUAUCUAAUGCAUUUGAUUUUGGCGAGAUCUAUUAUUUAUUUAAAUUAAUUUUGUAAUAAAUAAUAUUAAAUAAUAGAAUCCGAAGAUCCAAUUUUUAGGUAAUCUGUUAAUCACAAGGAGUUGUGAUUGUGAGAUACAAAUUACAUAUAAUUGAAUCUUAAAUUAUUUGUGGUCGUAAGUAAUGACAAGAUACAAAUAUCGUUAUUACGGAUAAAACAUCAUGUGUGAAAUUUCUUACUUGUGAAGUAAGUAGUUGAUCUUACAAGCUAAAGUGUGAAGUAGCUGAUCUCACGAGCUAAAGUGUGGUGACACUUAAAUGAACACGUGGAUAUUUUGUUAUAGAACAAAACAUUGGAGACCCGCUAAGAGAUUCCACAUGGAUAACUAUCUGAGUGUCAGUGGCUAAUCUCUAACGUUCGGUAGUGGAAUUGGUCCUUUGACUUGAGGUCGUCAUGAUAUCUUAUAUGAGGACAUUCAUACUUUGGCGGGUGUUGGAUGUUGCUCUGAAAGGGGCCUCUAAUACGACAUCGUUCGGGUAUGUCAAGAAUCGUAUGAAGGUUGUGAUUGAUCAAUAAAGGAUUCGUCACCCUUAGAUAGUAGGAGAUUAUGAUCUACGUUUCAUUCAAUUAAGUCGAUGAUGAAAUCCUUGGCCAAGGUGUACUCAUAAGUCGAAAAGGAGUUUUCGAUUUAUAUUGACUUAAUAGUGGAGUGAAAGAUAUGAUCAAUGAUCGAGUUUGACACAAUUUCAUAUCUCGUAAUUGAUUGGAUCGUAUUGACGAAGGGAUAAUAGUUUCACGAUAAACGGACGAAUUUGGUUUUGUCAUACCACGUGACAUUUCCCGUCACAUGUACUGCCUUGACACAUUGCUAGAUGUCAAUCAGGGACGGCGAAUGUGAAUUGACAAUAAAUUAAAAGGGUGUAUUAAUUUAUCAAUUUUGAUUAGAUCAAAAUAAUAUUUCACGACGUUAGGUAUCGUGGUCGGGAACCUAAUGGGUCGCACACAAAAGAGAAUUGGAAGACUGCAAAUUGUCAAUUGAUUAAUUUAACAAUCGUUGGAUAAAUUAAUUAAUUGAAUUUGUUAUGUAUAAUCCCGAAUUAAUUAAUUGGAUUAAUUAAUUCACGGGCGGGGUUUGAUUAAUUGGAUUAAUUAAAUAUUUGACCGGAUCGGGCCGGGUCCGUUUGGGUUUAUAUAUAUAUGCAGCUAGGGUUUGAGGUCCAUAAGUUAUUCAUUAUUCUUGCUAGCACAAGAAUGAAACCCUAGCAGUUGCUGUCUACUCUCUGUGUGGAUUUCAUUGGAGGCUGGACAAUUGGAUAGCUGUGGGAGGCAGAUUCAAGCUGUUGGAAAGGAAUAACGCGAAAGAGUUUGCAAAUCACAAAUAAGGGUAUAUUUCUCAUCAUAGGUUUUAUCUAAAUACAAAACUGAAUCCUGAAUGGGAAUUGAAACUUGUUAAAUUCCGCUGUGCAUAUUUAAGUAAAUUCCCAACAAUUGCUAAUUCCAGGGCCACAUGUACCAGGAAGAGAUAUUGAUGUUUAUUUGAGACCACUAGUAGAUGAGUUGAAAGAAUUAUGGAAAGUUGGUGUUGACACGUUUGAUGCUUAUAAUGGUCAAAUGUUUUCUAUACGUGUAGCUAUAAUGUUGACCAUUAAUGAUUUGCCUGCAUAUGGGAACCUAUCAGAAUGGAGCACUAAGGGAUACAAAGCUGGUCUAAUAUGUAAUGAGAAUACUUCCCACGUAGGUUAUGUAAUAAAAUAUGCUUUAUGGGGCAUCGGUGUUAUUUGCCACUUAACCAUUCUUGGAGAAAAAGGUAAAUUACAUGAUGGGAAAUGGAAAUUACGACCACCACCAAAAAAGUUAUCAGGAGAUGAUAUUUUGAAUCAAUUACAAGUUGUGAGGUGUGGGAAACAUGGAAAGUACCCAAGUAAUAAAGAUAGAAAAAGUAAACGUACUCUAGCUGAGAUAAACUUGACGAGAAAAAGCAUUUUCUUCGAGUUGGAGUAUUGGUCUAACUUGAAACUAAGACACAAUUUAGAUAUAAUGCAUAUUGAGAAGAAUGUGUGCGAUAAUAUUGUUGGAACAUUGUUCAAUGUUGAAGGGAAGACAAAAGAUACGGAUAAGACUAGAUUGGAUUUGCAAGAUAUGAAGAUUGGGUGUGUACUGCAAUUGUAGAGCUAUGUUGUUUUUUUAAAUAAUUAUGUACAAGAACAUUGAAUAUCAAUGAUUUAGAGAAGCUGGAAAAAGGGAUUAUUAUAAUUUUAUGUAAACUAGAACGAAUUUUCCCACUGGCAUUUUUUGAUGUAAUGGUUCAUUUAGCUAUUCACCUACCUGAAGAAUUAAAACUUGGAGGUCCCGUUGCAUUUAGAUGGAUGUACCCAGUUGAAAGGUAAUUGCUAAUAUUGCAUACAUAUAUACUUGUUCAUUGACUUAUUACAGAAUAUUAGGUUGAUAUAAGAGUUGUGUUAAGAAUAAAGCUUGACCCGAAGGAUCAAAUGCUGAAGCAUAUAGUGUUAAUGAGUCUUUGAAUUUUUGCUCGAUGUAUCUCAAUGACAUUGAAACAAGAUUUAAUCGAACUAAAUGUAAUGACGAUGGUGGUACUUCAUCUACAAGCUUAGGUCAUGCAGAACUAAAGUUACUUUCAAAACAAGAAAUUGAUAAAGUGCAUUGGUAUGUCCUAAAUAAUUGUGAUAAAGUUCGACAAUAUUUAGAUUAAGUUCUCAAUCAACUUUCAAAAAUUGUUUUGCUAUUAACUAUUAAUGUGUUGUAGUAUUUAAUUGCAUCUCCUUUCAUAGCGAACACAUGUAGCUAUUGCAACAACAUCACAACAAUUUGGAAAAAGACAAGAAAAAUUGUUUCACGAAUGGUUUGAUUCACAUGUAAGUUAUAAUACGUGUCUUUAUUAUUUAUUAAAGCAACAUAACAUUCGCAUCUGAAGGUAUAUUGAUUAAUAUGUUUUUAUUAGCACAAAUAAGGAGAUUAUAUAAUAAAAAAUAUUCAGGUGUAAACAAAGAAUUGUAUUCAUUAACAUGUAAACCGGAUUUUAGAAUAUUUUCCUAUUUGGGUUUUAUUGCUAAUGAGGUACGAUUCCUUAUUAAAGAUCGAGAUGGUUGUCGUACAACACAAAAUAGUGGAGUGAUGGUGUCAGGAGAUGAGAACUUCAACUUUUUCGGUAUACUUUGUGAUGUUAUUGAGUUGGUAUAUGUUUUUUUACUAUCGCGUCACUUUGUUCUAGUGUGAUUGGUACGAUAAUAAUCCAAAGCAAAAAAGAGCAGUCGUAGAUUAUCAUCUUACUUCUAUCAAUGUGAAUUGCAAAUAGUACAUGGAUGAUUCUUAUAUACUUGGCAUCCAAGCACAACAUGUAUUUUAUAUGGAUGAUGUUUUGUUGGGUCCACAAUGGAAGGUACUGGAAAAGGUACAACACAGAGGCAUAUGGGACAUCCCUUAAAAAAAUGAUGGUGGUAGUACGCAAGUAAUAUUUCAAGAAAAUGAAUCAUCAGAUAUUGUCUUACCAAUACAACAGGAAGAUCUUGACUCUCAAGUAUGCCAUAGAAGAGAUGUUGAUCCAGAUAUUAUUGAAAAUGAAGCACUGCAAAUAGAUGUGGAAUCAAUAAAUAAAAAUAUGAAUAAUGUUAUAUAUGAUACUUCAAAAGAGGAAGAUGAUACAUUGAAUGAAUAUUACAAUGAAGAUGAGAAAUCUCUAGAUGGUAACCAUGAUGAUGAUGAUGAUAUUGGUAAGUAAAACAUUCUUUAUAUAUAUAUAUAUAUAUAUAGGUUUUUUUUUGGUGUAAUGUUUUUCUAUUUUAUUUUUAAAUGAUUACAUUUUUCACUUUCCUCUACAGAUUCGAGUACUGACAAUGCAUCAACUGAUAAUUUGUAAGAAUUUUUAUUCACAGUUAAGUUUAGAUUAAUCGACUAAUGAGAUAUAUUUGAUUUAUUAUUGUGAUGAUUGUUGAUCUUGUACUCAUAUUCAAUGUGAGAUAUUUGAAUAUUUUCUUUAAGCUAAUAUUUCAUUACCUUUUAUAUGUAGAUGUUUGACUAAAGUUAUAGAGCUUUUCUUUACAGGAAUUCUUAUUUAACCAAAGAACAUAUUGAUGGUCAGUUGAAAGUAUAUCUUAAGAGUGAAGAAUGUUAUUUGUGUGUCUCGUGAGUUUUGUUAUUUCUUUCAUAUUUCUAGUUCUAUUUUCUAAUUUCAAGUUUGGUGAAUCAUUCUAAGUAGUCUAAUAUUGAAAUUACUAGUCCUAUAGUUUAUUUGUAUUAGUUUUGAUUAUGGCGGUAACUAAGUUUGUAGAUAAUACCUUGAUCUAUAUUUAUUUGGUUGAUAAUAAAGUCACGAGUUAUUUCUAGUUAAGUUAAAUUUUCAUAUAAAUGUGCACCACAAUAACGAUUCCAUUUCCAAGAAAGAAAUCAAAAAUUGUGUUUAAAAUAGAAUCUACGACAUACGUAAAUAAAAAUAGAAUCAAUUAGGCGAUAAUUGUACAUGCUUGGAGUAAUAAACCUUGUGUUGCGGAAUAAAUCUAACUACAAGCACAACUUGACACAUAAAUAAAAGUUCAUUAUCACAAAAUACUUUUCGUAAUAAUAUUCUAUAUCAUAAAAUAAAAUAUGUGACGUAUAUAAAUAAUCAUGAAAUAAAUUAGGCAAUAGCUAUACUCGUUGCACAAAUGAUGGCGCAAUAGACUAUUAGUGUUGCGAAAUAAAUUUAAAUACAAACAUCACUCGUUAUAUAAUAUAUUGUACUACAAAUAUUGAAUAUAAAAUACAUUAUGCGACAUAUCAAAUACAUUUAAAACAUAUUUCACGACAAACAUGCUUGUUAUUAAAAAUAUAGUCCUACGUGCAUGUGCUGUUGCAAAAUAAAAUAGGUAGCAAAAGUUACACGCUUAAAAGAAUAUUCGCAACAAAUAUUUUUCUUGUAAAAACUUUAUUGAAAUAAUUGUUGCAACAAAUUGUCGUGUCGCCUUUUUAUUUUUUGGCGACAUAUAUGCAUCGCGAGGACAUUAUAAUUACAAUUAUCGUGUUGCUGUUUCAUUUUUUUUUUGUGGCAAAUAAAUAAUGUUGCGAUUUUGUUAAUGUGAUGAAUGAUUGAAGGUAGUUGCAAAAUAUAUUUGAUGACUCAACAUUCGCAACAAACAUGUAUCUCAUAAAAACUUUAUUGGAAUAUUCGUUGUGAUAAACAAACUUGUCGCACUUUAAAUUUUUCACGACAUAUACAUUGUGACACAUUAUGGCUACAAAUAUUGUGUUGCCAUUUCGUAUUUUCUGUGUUACACAACUAUAGUCGUGAUUUUGUUAUUGCGAUGAGCUAUUGAAAAGUGUCAUAGAAACAUUUUGCAACCUAUAUAGAGCGACAAUACCCGCAACAAAUGUAUUGUUGUUGCUAAAUUACUUUUACAACAAAAUCCCAAUUUUUGCAGCAACAUUUUUUUUGUCUCGAAAUCGAUUAUUUUUUGUAGUGUAUGUAACCAUUGUUAUAAUGAAAAAAGGGAUUUGAUUAAAGAAUAGUUUAAAUUGUGACAUAAGCUGAAGAUUUCGAGAACAGAAAAAGUCAUAUCUUGAAAUUUAAAGUGGGAAAUAGCUAAAUUUUUCUAAGACUUGGCAAAAUGAAAAGUGGAGAAUAUCAUAUUUUGAUCCUUAGGAUAUUAUUUCAAGUAUUGUUUUAAUGGUUUAUUGAUCAGGUUGAUAACAGAUUUUUCUGGUAUUCAAUAAUAUAUAAAGUUUUUGAGGUUUAGUAAGUGGAUGCAUAUUUAAUUUAAGUGUUAAGAUUAUUAGUUCAGUUAAAGAGAGCUCCUCUUACUACAGUUGAAGAGAUAUUGACAUAGGAAAGGUCAAGGAAAGUCCAAGAACAAGAAAGAAUGAGUUUUAUGUAGUUAAAUUAGUACACUAUUUAAAGGUUGGGAAAGCGUUCAAUAGAAGAGGCAUCAUGAGCAUAUGAGGGUCAAAUAAGCUACACACUCUAUACCUGCAUAUAUCUAAAUUCUGGUUGAUUGAAUUUCGAGGACGAAAUUAUUUGAAGGAGGUAAGAUUGUUACACUCCGUUCAUUUAUAGUCGAAGUCAAAGAAUGAUUUAGUCAAAGCUAAAGUCAAAUAAGGACUUAUAGUUGAAUGAAUGAUUUUAAUAGGACUUAAAUUGCAAUUACAAAUACUUGACGCUAAAAAUGAUAUAGUAACAAAAUCUAGGAAUUUAGUUUCUAUUGUUGAAAAUUUAACGACGAAAUGUUUGUGUUAUAUAAAGAUUGGUGACUUGACUUGCAAUUGUUCAAUAGUUAUCCUUUAAACCUUAUAUAUAUAACAUAUCUAUCCAUCUUUCUCAUUUGGGGUAAAGAAAAACGAGACCAUGGAGAAAAGGAAGCAAGGAAGAAAGAAGAGAAAUAGAAAAAGAAGGAAGAGGUAGGUUCCAAUUUUUCAAACCUAGGUUCUCAAUUUCUUAAAUUUUUCCUUUAAUUUAGUGAGGUAAGUAUGAGAAUGUGAAAUUAUCUCCUUUAGGGGUUAUGGAACUUAUCUUUAAAGCUUCGAAGUUAGCAAGAAUUAGGUGUUAUUGAUUUGUAUUCAAGGUUUUAAAUAAGAAUAUAGCAAGGACAUGUUUAUUGAAAAUUGGAUUUGAAGAAAGUAGAAUUUUGGAAAUGGGUUUUGAGAUAAAAGAUAUAUUCUUUGAGUUUCUUGUGAUUAUAUGAUGCUAAACACUUAAAUUAAGGGUUUGAGUUUGGAAUUCUCCAUUUUUAAAGCAAUUUUCAAGGUAGUAUUGUACAGGUGUUAAUUCUGAAAUUCUGCCAAGAAAAUAGCUAUUUCUGUCAAUGGUUUUGAUGCCAGAUUUGAAUAUACAGAAAUUGUUACUAGAUUUCUAUAUUCUGGAGUUUUAGUGCUGUUUUUGUCAAACUUGGAUUUCGAAAUUUUUAAAGGUUUGAAUGAAUUUAUAUGACAAUAUUGAAGUCUAUGUAUUGGACUAACAAUGUAUAGGGGUUGUAUAUGUAUAAGGUAGUGAUUUUAAGGAAGUGUGAGUGGUGUAAUGGAUUUGAUAAUGUAUGAUGAUUAGUUGAUCAAUCAUUAAAGAGAAGAAAAGUUGGGAAAUUGGAGAUAUUCUUAAGUACAGAAAUUGAGAAGUUAAGUGGUGGAUUUGUAUUGAUUUAAUUGUUAUGUUUUAAUUCAAGAAAUUAUACCUUCAUUUCAGGUAGGGACAUGGAAGCUUGGAAAGGCUUGUCAAUUAAUCAGAUUUUUAUCUAUAGAUCUGUGAGUAAAAAAGCUUAAUAAUUUCAAAGUAUUUAUAAAUUAAGUAUCUUAUUAAAUUAUGUGAAUUAUUUGCUCAAUUAUAUGAUUACCAUGAAAGUUUCUUUUACUAUUUCAAAGAUUGUAUAUGGUGCAUUUGCGAAUUGGAAUAUGAGACAUGAUAUUUAGAUUGACCAGAAAAGUACCUGUGAUUAUAUACUUCUUUUAGUUUAUAGAGGGGUCUUGUCGGGGUUUCAUACAACACUAAGGGGUCAACUGGGGGUGAAAGGGUCGUGCCCAUGUAUAUAUAGUUCACUGAGGAGCCUUGGCCGUGUUCUAGAAUUGAUGUAUCAGAGGUCUUUGAGACCCGCUUUCGUGAAUAUGAGAUGAUAUUUACAGAAUUAUGAGAAUGUCCCCUUUUUGGCUAUAAUUGUAUGAGGCUAUCGUAUGAAUUGCUAAAUGAUAUGAACUUGAUGUCUAUGUAUGAGAAAAAUGUUUAAAUGAGAAAGUAUAAUUAUUUUCCUUCCACUCAUUGAGCUAUAAAAUUAUAUUCUUCCACGAUUUUUCUUACAGGUAGUAUUGGUCCAUGGUAGCUUAAGGAGCCCGAUGGUUUUAGAAUUAGAGCCACAAUACUUAUUGAGUGACAUGAUUCAUUUUGGUAAAACAUGAAGUAAUUAUUUCUGGUUCAUUGCAUUAUAUUUUUCAUAAACAUUUGAUUUUGUUGCAUAUUUUGUAGUAGCUCAUGGUUAGCCUUGGUGAUAGAUCUGGUAUAUAAUCAGUAUCUACCAUUGGUACAUGUCACGUUUUCGGGUCCAUUAGGAUGAUUCGAGACGGAUUGUGUCAGGAAUACUAAGGAAUGGCGUGUAAAAACUGGAGCUACUCAUCUAUAUGUGCAAACCACUAGAUAACAUCUUUGUCGCUCAUGUACAAUGUUGUGUAACCUAAUGUAUUAAAUGCGUUAUCAGAUUCCUUUUUACAUAAUCUGAUGACCAUAUGUGUUUUCCUACAGGCAAGCGCAUGAAGAAUGUUAGGAAAUUGUUGUCAAACGACCUCCUCGGACUGUGAUGUUAACUCAAUUUUAUUUUCAGUGGGCCUAGGCCAAAUGAUUGAACCUUAUAUUGACAUCUCAAAUGGGACGACCUAAACCUAAUUUGUAUGGGCCAUUCGAAACAACCUAAUUUAUUAGUAUUGCUCAUGACCUGUCCCACUUAUUUGGACGGCUAAAUAAUGGUAUCCAUUUGAUAGUCCACUACUGUGUUUGGGCAUUUUGGGCCACUACCUUUGACCUAACUAGCGUACCUUAUUUGGUCUACUCCACUGGUUAAUAUGGUUCGUCUCCUUGGCUGCCUUAUUGUUGCGACUUCAUGUUCUCUUCUUCUUCUUCUCCGUUUACUUUCGAUUGGCUCAUCUCUACUGCCUCUGUUGUUUGUGAUAUUGGCUUUUCCUUUAUGGUCUCUUUGUAGGUAUUUAAGGAUCUGUUUGAUUGCGGAGAUGGAAUUUGGUGGAAAGAAAAUGAAUUCUAGAGAAUCGAAUUACUUAAAAAUUAUGUACUUUUUGUCUAUUGUUGUGUUUACUUCGAAUUCUUGUGUAGUUGGAAAUCUCAACUACAACACAUCGUUGCACUAUCCACGACAGAGGUAGAAUAUAUUGUUAUCACUAAAGCCAUUAAGGAGUCUUGAAUGAUUAUGUGGUAGUAUAUUUCGAUAGUUAGUAUUCUUCCAUACAUCUAUGCAAAAGCUCUGUUUUUUAUGAACCAUCAAGUAUAUUGAUGUUAGAUUACAUUUCAUUAAAAAUACCGUGUCACAAAAAGUGGUAAGACUUGAAAAGAUACAUACACAAUACAAUCCUUCAGACAUGGGUACAAAGGUACUUUCACUGGUAAAGUUUAGAAGUUGCAAGAAUCUUUUAAAUAUUGGUGAAGGUAAUUAAUUUCCAAUUUUAUCAUCUCCUGAUAUUGAAAUUAUUGCUAACAUGUGUUAAUGUUUCUUUGAAGGUCAUUUGACACUAAGGUGGAGGUUUUGUUAGGAAAAUUGUUGUCAAAUGAUCUCCUCGAGCUGUGAUGUCAACUAGAUUUUAUUUUCAGUCACCCUCGACCAAAUGAUUAAAUUUUAUAUCGACACCUCAAAUGGGACGAUCCAAACGUAAUUUGUAUGGGUCAUUCGAAACAACCUAAUUUAUUGGUGUUGCUCAUAGCCCAUCCCAUUUAUUUAAAUAGCUAAAUAAUGGUACCCAUUUGAUAGCCCAUACUCUUGUGUUUGGGCCUUUUGGGCCACUACCUUUGACUGAACCUGCUUACCUUAUUUGGUCGACUCGAUUGAUUAAUGUGGUCCGUCUCCUUUGUUGCCUUAUAGUCAUGACUUAUUGGUACAUUUUCUCUCCUUCUCCGUUCAGUUUCAGUUGGCUCAACUCUUCUACCUUUUUGGUUUAAUUCUUAUGUGAUAUUGAAUUUCCUUUGUGGUUUCUUUGUGGGUAUUCAAAAGCAACUGUGAAUGGAGAAACCAUUUUGGGAGUUUUAGGUUGUUGCUCAUUGUGGUGUAGAUUGGUUGAUGAAUGAUAAGUGUGUUUUUACACACUUAUUUGGUUCGCAAACAUGACUUAAACAUGGAUAAAAUGGUUGAAUUGUGGCUUAAUCCUAUUAAAUUCAUGCAAUGUAGGUAUUUCAAUGGAAAUUGUGGAAUUCAGGAGAAAAGAGCCGGAAAAAGACCAAAAUGCAACAAAGUGAUAGUUCGAGGACCAAAGGUGCAAAUAUUGAGAAGUUGAGCUAAAUGUAAAACGAAGUAAAAACAUGCUAAGUAUGAGCUCAACGACAAAGCAAAACAAUUGGAAGAAGAAAGUAUUGAAGAGGGACUGAAAUGAAGACAAUUGAAAGUUGGAGGACUAGAGCGCAAAUACUCAAAAGAUGUUCCGAAUGAGUGGCAUGAGAUUUGAUGGUGUCAAUCAUCAAUUGGAAGAUAAAAUUUUUUGAAAAGAUGAAGAAAUCGAAGAAAGAAGUCAAGAGAAGCAACAAGGAAGUUCAGGGACCAAAAUGUAAAAACCACAUAGUUGGUUAUAUCUAUGCGACCGCAUAGUAUAACCAUCUAUGCGGUCACAUAGAUGGAUGUAGGGAAAUUAAUUGGGCAUUUCAAAUGACCUAUGCGACCGCAUAGGUUUCUUCUAUGCGGUCGCAUAGAAGAAAUUUUGGGGGAUUUUCUGCAGUUUCCUUUUUCGACUCCAACUCCUUUCUUAUCUAAUUUGGACACGCUAUAUAUACCCUAAAACACGUCCAGAACUAGGGUAGACAUUUUUGGGAGAAAAGAGGCACACAAGAACAUCAAGAUCCAAGAAUUUAUGCAAGAAGAAGGAGGAUUUCAUCAAGAUUGAAGAUUUCAAGCAACAAUUAUAAUAGGGUGAUGUCUUCUCCUUUAUUGAAUCUUUGUAAUUUUCUUCAAAAUAUGAUAGGCUAGGGUUUUUGUUCAUUAGGAAUUUGAUGAACCUUUUGAUGAUUUAAAUUUCCAUUAUUUCAUUAAUUCAACAAUAGUUUCGAUUGGACAAAUGUUUGAUUUAUAUGAUUUGAAUGCUUCCAUAAUUAUUUGGCCAAUUGUUAUGUGAUUGUAGAUGAUUUGUUCUUUGCAUUCGAAAGAAGGGGAAUAAAUUCUAUAGAAUAUAAAUUGACAUAGGGUCCGAUAGAGGAUGGAAACUUACCUCUAUGCUCUAUGCAAUUCAUGAAGAUGUUCAUAAAAAGUCAUGCAUUCUUGUACAUUGCAUCAUCCAUAGAAAUAUAGGCUGGUGGUGUGUAAGAGUAGAUUCAAUAUAUAUCGAGAGAGUGUAUUGAAUAAUUUAGGAACAUUGAAUUGGCAUUUUGUUCCAUCGAUUCGUUGAAUUUGUGAAAUUAGGGUUUUUAAUAGUGAAUUGGGGAUUCGAGUUCUUAAUGAUUUCAUUUCGAUUCAUUUCAAUACAUUAGUUCUAAAAUUGCAUAUUUACAUUUCAGUUGCGUGUUUAUUUCAUUCGAUUAGUGAAAUUUUGAAAUUACGAUUUCCAAUUGUGAAAUUAGGGUUUUUUUUGCAAUUAGGGUUUCAAAUUGGGGAUUUCUUCCAAAAUUAGGGUUUUUCACAUUUAAACCAAAUUUUCAUUCAAUUAGAUUCGGUUAAGGUCACAUUAGUCUAAUUAGAGCUAAUUCAAUCCUCGUGGGAACGAUACUUAGACUCAUAGUCCAUUUUACUACUUGUUAACGAACCGUACACUUGCGGUGGGUUUUAAAAUCGAAAAUAAAUAUUUCGUCAACAAUGAACUGUGCCCGACAAUGCCUUGGCCGUAGUGUUUUCUCUCUACAAAGAACAGAAUCGACAUCUAGACCCUGAAAACUCUAUGGGCAAGUGGACUUUAGUUGAGGAAGACGUACUUGGAGACAAAAUUGAAUCUACGUGGUAAAAUUCAAGGACUCGAAGGAUGGAGAAUGUGUUGUCAAGAUCAUCAUUGAGUAUCAUGCCAAGGAUAACGUUGUUCUAAAAGAGGAGGAUAUUAAUAAAAUCAAGGAACAAUCGUUUUGGAUUCUACAAGUCUUAUGCAGAUCAUCUGAAUGUGAAUCCUCGUGUUUGUGACUAAAGAUUUUCAUUAAAGAUUUUUUUUUCCAACCACUAUAAGUUACAUAUUUAUUAAUAUCAAAGAUAAAAUAUAGUAUAUACUUAUUAGAAGGAGGCUCAACGUAACCUUCUAGCUAAAGUUGAAAAAAUAAUUAAACUCUUCCAUCUUGAAACAAGGCCUACAAUAUAAGAUUUAAAGAAAGUACAAUAUAUUCCCUCUAGUCAAACUUUUCGUCAUUAUUGUUACAUUUGAACUCGCUACUUGAUGUUUGUUAUUUUUUCACUGUCAUCAAAACUUCCAAUACUAAUUGAAAAAUUAAUUUCGACUUUUCUAUGCUGAGUAAUAUAAUAAAUAUUUUGAGUUAGCUAAGGCAAAGCUGAGGCACUUGUGUUAGAUUUUAUUUGUCAUGUGGGCCUACACAUAUAAUUAAUUGAGAAAAUUACACUAGUUACCUGUUUAAAAUUAAAUAUUUAUAUGUACUAAUCACUUUUCUAUUUUCCAUUUAUACUGUAAUUUAAUAAUAUAACUAAAAAUCAUCAAAUCACUUAACUCCUUAUAAUAAUUCAAUAAAUUACUGACCUUACUCUAUCAUCAUUGAAUCUGAAUUAAUUAUCUCAAAUACCCAAACCACUCCCACAAAUUAAGCUCUGUAUUAGGUCAUUUCCAAAUCGAGACUGACGCAACUAUUUUUCGCUUUCCUUUUUGUUCCUUAAAUAUCUAAAAUUCUUUCCUCGUUUGUCCCCUCUAACAGCCACUUUGCUCUAAUUAUUGCCGUAAAGCCCUUUUCCUACAUGCAUAAACCUAUACAUACAGACCCCUACAUACGUCUCUUUAAUUGUCAAUGAUGGCUCUUAGCUCUUUUCUCCCUUCCUGAGAUAAUCUCUUUGAUUCUUGACGUGGAAAUGAUAUGUCAGUUCAAUUUUUUGGAGCAUAGAUGUGCAUUUCAUUAAAUCAUUAAAAUUAUGCUUAGACCCUUUUCAUUUUCUCUUUCUUUCUGGAAAAUUGAAGCAGGUUUUUUAUUGAAAAUAUUCCUAAUUGGACUUAUUAUACAUUUUUAUUCUUUUGGGGCAUGUGGGUUUGUUUGUUUCUAUUUUUAGGUGGCGAACAAGGAAAUAUGGGACCUUAUGAAUCAAAUGGAUGAUACUAGAUAAUGAAAUUAUCCUUAGGUUGUUGUAUUAUAUUGAAGAAGGGUAGUCAAAAAGGGCCUUGAUUGAUGCUAUUGUUGGUGCAAUUUCUGGUACUGUUUCAAGGGCCGAAGUAAUUAUGAUUAGAUUUUAGAUCAUUCUUCAUCUCUUAGUCCUCGUUCAUCCCCCUCCUAGUUCUUAAUCUAUCAUUCUUAAUUAAAACCCAUUGUUAUCUGUUGGAAAUAAUACUGUGAUUGAGGAUAUUACUCCUCAAUCAUAAUCUUCCCAUAGCAUGCCAAUGCCAAUCACGUAAUUGAAGGAGGUUAAUUUACACGGUUUUCAUUUCAUUUACACAGUUUCCAUUUUAUUGUAAAUUAUUGAUUUGUAUUCCAUUUAUACUAUCUUGUAAAGCUCUAUAUAAUGCAAUACGAUACACCACUGAAAUUAAGGUGGAUUUUAAUCAUUCUUAUAGUAUCAGAGCGGAGAUGAUCUUGAAAGAAAUUACUGGUAAAUUCACCACCGCCGUCACUUUGGAAAAUUUUAAUUCGAGUGGAGUAUUGAUUUUCCACAAAUUUUUGAAAUUGAAUAAAAACAUUAUAAAAAUCAAAUUUCAAUUUUAAAGAUAGAGCCACGUGAAACGAGAAUAGUCAUCGAUAAAAAUGACAUAAUAGACAAAUCCUAAAUUAGAUUUGACUGGAGACGGACCCCAAAUGUCGCAAUGGAUAAGAUCAAGUGUUUUUGAUGACCUAUGUUAAUUUUGAGAAUAAGGCAAGCGAUGACUUUUAGCAAUUUGACAUGUGCCACAUAAAGUUGGAAAAGGCAACAAAGAUGUAAGAUAAAGCUAGCCUUUUUUAUUCAAUAGAGAAAUAACAGAAUGAUUGACAUGUCCAAGUCGUGCAUGCCAUAAAUUAUAGGACGCAUGAAGCGAUUUAUUUUUAAGAACAGAAAUAAAAGUAGAAUGACUUCGCUCAAGCACAUAUAAACCUCCAUCACGCUUGCCGGUUGCCACCACCCUUCCUGUUUUGCGAUUCUGUACAGUGAAUAUGUUAUUAUUAAAGGUAACGAAUAAAGGAAAAUCUGAUGUUAAUUUACUGAUGGAAAGUAAAUUCUUGGUAAGGCAAGAUACAGCUAGGACAUCAAGAAGAUGUAGAUUUGGGGUAGGGAAAAUUUUACUAGUAUGGGUAAUGGGUAGUGAGGCACCAUUCCCAACAACCACACAAUCCUUACCCAUGUAAUUUGUGGCCUGAUCCAAUUUAGAGUGAUUCAUGGUCAUAUGGGCUGAAGCCCCUAUAUCCAAAUACCAGUCAGAGCCCACAUCGUCAUUUAGAGAACAAGAUCUCGUGAAGGCUUCAGCAAGGUGAGCUGGUGUCUCAUUCCGAUCAUAGCGUUGAAGGCACCGAUCGGCAAAGUGGCCAUCCAUCCUGCAAAUCUGGCAUCUUGGUGGACGAUGCCAUUGGCUGUAGUUGGAGCGCCCUUGUCCAUGACCAGAUGAACUGAUGCCACGCCCACCGAAGCGACCCUGAUGACUACGAGAAGAGUCACCACGAUGGGUGGAAUUUUUUGUGACAGUAAAGGCUGUCGCUGCUGGAGAAGAUGAGUCAAGGGAUUUCUGAAAAAUUUCAAAACUUUCGGCCUGUAAUAACUCGUUCUCUAUUUGAUUUGUAUGUAAUGCAUGUUUGGUUUGGAUUAAAAUCUAAUUUUAAUCUAAGUUAAAGUUAUAUAAUCAAUAUUAACUACAUCUUUCAUGGAUCUCACAACUUUUCAACCAUGCAUUUCAAAAUUUUUUAUCACCAUCUACUAAAAAAAUCUAAUUUUAAUCCUCACUAAAUAUACUCUAUAUUUGUAUUAUUAUUUUUUUAUUUUUUUCAAUUCACAUAUGUAUUACAUUUUUCUCGAUAAAACCCAACUUAUAUACAUUGGUGAAUAACAUAGAAUGCUAAAUAGAAGAGUAAAUCGAACCUGCCAUACCUUAUUUAUUUAUUUUUUUAAAGCAUGUCACCAUCAUGCCCCAUUCAUUGUAAAUAUGGAAUUGGACUCUUUGUGGGCACCAGUGUACAUGUAAGCUCUUGUUCCCUGGCCCGUCGAGGUAUAUUCUGCGAUUUACCUUCAUCACGAUACUCUAGCGGCGAGGCAGUGGGGGCCCUCAAGGUUGGGGAUUAACCUUUUUUUUUUGGUAUUGUUUUUCAUUUUGUAUGUGCAACUUAACAGAUAUAGAUUACAGAUGAUACAGUCAUGAACCUCUAAGUACUUGAAAUUGUACUACAUUUCUUCAAUUCUUUAUACUAAUAGCUUGUAACAUGUAGUGUAACAUAAUAGCGGACCCAAAAUUUUUGGAUUUUUCCCCUCAAGGUUGGCGUUCAACCUUUUUUUUUUUGGUAUUGUUUUUCAUUUUGUAUGUGCAACUUAACAGAUAUAGAUUACAGAUGAUACAGUCAUGAAGCUCCAAGUACUUGAAAUUGUACUACAUUUCUUCAAUUCUUUAUACUAAUAGCUUGUAACAUGUAGUGUAACAAAAUGGCUGACCCAAAACUUUUAGAUUUUUCCCCAGAAAAUAGUUGUUUUGACAUAUUUACGACCUACUUUUUUGCAUUUAUUACAAGAUGUCAAAUGAAAUCGAAAUUUACCUUCUUAAUACCAAUUUUAAGUGCUCAUGGCCAAGUUUUUUGCUCGUUAAUGGCCUGUAAAUCGACUAACCGUAGUAAAAAUUACGACGCAUCAAAGUAGGCCGUUCCAAAUUAGUAUUUCAAGGAUUUUGAUAAUAUAUUAACUUUCAAAAUUCGUCGAUAAUUGUAUACUAUUUGAAUCCACAAAUCGUCUACAUCAAAUGGAUGCUCAUUUCGAGAACUAUAUCGUAGUCAUAUCGAAUUGUUCAAACGAAUAUUGAAAAUAAUUAAAUAUACAUCAAAUGUACAUCUUAAAAAAGAAGUCUAACUCAUAUUUUCUUUUAAAAAAUUUCAAUUAAUUUAUCAACGUUUAUUAGUUUUACACGAUAUAUUUUUCAAUAUAAUUUACAUAAUUUUAUUAGGAUAUUUUAUAUGGAAUAUGACAUUAAAAAUCUUAGGAACGUUACAAAUUAAGUGUAAUUUGAAUUACUUUCGAAAUAAAUUUAAAUUUCAUUUUCUUCUUAUAUUAAAUGUGAAUUUUAUUUCAUUUCAUUUACUUCCUUUAUUUAAUUUGAUUUACUCAUAUUCAACUCAACAUCUAUCAAUGAAAUGGUAAACAAGACUAUAAAAGAAGCACAAUCCAUUUUACACUAUUGAUAAUAAUAUAAUUAUAAGACUUUCAAAGUAUCAAAAUGCCCAUUAAUUUAUUUUCAUUAAUAAUAUAUUGUUUUUUUCCCCUUAAAAAUACACUUUAAUUUUUGACCCACAACACAAAAAAUCUGGUUCUGCCCCUGGAGUAACAUACCAAAGAUUAUGUCUAUUCUUUUUUGUGAAAAAAAUGUAAUCUAUUUUUAAUCAUGCAAUAUUAAUUAGGUUCGUUAAAUUAUCAUAGUCUUGUAAUUUGGUGAUACGCAUUUUUAUGAUUUUACCUUUAAAAAACUCGUCUUGGUGAAUUGCAUAGAAUAUUGAAGAGAUGGGUUAAUUGAACCUGCCAUACCUUAUUUUCUAUAUUGCAUGUCAUCCUCAAGUUUACAUAUUUUUCUAUUGCACACCAUAUAAAAUACAAUGUAACAUAUCAAACUAUUAUAUCUAUUCCUCGUGUUUGAAUCCAAUCAUGCAGUCAUUUAGGUGUACGUGCUACAUUCCACAGGAAUGUUAUUCGGUGUUAUAGAUUUUUAUGUCCUCGUAAGUUUACAUUAUGAGUUUAUCGUAAAUAUUCACGGACUAUUGUUUUAACUAAAAGAAAGCAAUAUUGUAGUUGUUCAAAACCUUUCAAAAGGGAAAGACAUAGUGAAAACAGUAGCCAUUUCAAUGCCUCGAAGGUCUCAUGUUUCAAGAUACCAGCAGACAAUGCCUACGGCAUCCACUCUGCAAAGUAAUGCGAUACCAACUCUGCAGCAACAAUCUAUUCUGCCUCAAGGGUAAAUAUGAAUUAUGUAUCCCUUACUUCUUAGAAUGUUCUUUUUAUUUUAACUUAGCACCUCAAUUUUACAAGCUUGAUUCAACAUGGAAAUUCCUUCUUACUUGACUCGAAGACAAAAGAUGAAAGUAACACAAGGAACUUUAGUCGGAGUUCCACACCGCGAAAAGAGACAAAACUUGACAAGCAAUGUAAGAAGGCCUGUUACCAUUGCAAAAAAAUAACACUCAUGUACAGAAGAUUUGCAGUAGGAACAACCUUGCAUAAUUGAUUCUCAUCACAAGUGGCCUUGUCUUUUUGUUCAAUUACUUAUUAAAUUUACAAAACUACUCUCCAAAUGGUAAAGGAAAUGGGGACGUGUUGGUUAAUGAUAGAGAGGGUAUUUUGGUAAAUAGUGGAUGGCAAAUCGGUGUAUUUCAUGAAUAUCGUCAAAGCUCAUUGGCCCCAUUCUCGACAAAUUAUUGGGGAUGGGGGUGUCAUGGAAAGCGUCAAAUUGAUUGGCAAAUUGAUUGAUCGCUGAACAAGCUCUCAACGAAAUUACAAGGAUCCAUAAGUGUACUAUGUAAUAGAAAUACAGAAUGACAGGAAUUAAGAUUGUAAUGUAGAGAACAAAGAUGAAAUGUAUAAAUUCGAUAAUGUAUUGUGUAGAGAAUGAAUUGAGAAAAUGUAUUUAAUAGAUAAUCAUUAGCAAUACUUCAUCAUUGAAAGUGUUAUUUCGUCAAUCACAUAAUUCAAAUGGAAGCUUGACCCUCUAAAUAAUCUGAAAAACUAGGAAAGCCAACAAAUUAGAAAUUUCAAAUUAAUAAAAAGUGUUUCCUCAUUUAUCUUAACAAAGAAUAUUAUUUUCUGGACUCAUAUCUUUUCAUUUCAGCACUAAAGAAUAAGAGAGAUAUUUAUGACUAUUCCAUGAUAUCCUUUUCUUGACCCAAAUUCUAUGUUUGGAAGUUAUCUUUUAAGGUCUCCGUUGUCUAUAAUUGGUAGGUGAAAAUUGACUAAGAAACUGAAAUUAUGGAACACCAUUGCGCAUCCUUGACAAUCGAGUAGGAGAAGUUCAUCAUAAUAACAUAUUUGGAUAAGCUUAAAAAAUUUACGUACUCGGCUAAGCUUAAAAAUAUUUACUUAUACGUAAAUAUGUAAUUUUCAGCCUAGUGAAAUUUUGGUAAAAGUUGAAAUAUAGUUGCUGAAUAAAAGUUAUUUUUGAGAAGUAUAAUUUUUAAAACUGAGAUAGUUAAAUUUUUAUGGUAAAAGUUGAAAGCUAUUUGCCAAAUAAAAGUUAUUUUUGAGAAGUAUAAUUUUUAAAACUGAGUUAUCCAUGCUCAUUUGAAUAAAUAUCCUCACUUAAAAAGCAUUUUUGGCUAAGUUAGAAGAAUAAUGCCCUUGUACACUGUGCUUUAUAGCUCGGCGUACACUCCCCUCAUAUGAGGGGAGGGGCCCAUGCCCAUUUAAUGCUCGGAUUUCGUCUCCCAUGUGAGGAGGCUGUACUAGCAUGGCCGAAGUUAGAAAGGUUACUUAUAAUUCAAUAAAUAAGUUUUUUUUAGAAUAAUUAACAUUUUGACGGGUAAAAUUUGAAAAAGAGUUCGUAUUAAGUAAAAGUUAUAUUCUGAAAAAGUAAUACUUAUUUAAAAUCGAGUUAUCUGUACAUAUUUGAACACCUAACCUCACUCCAAAAAAAUAAAAAAAUAAAAAAAAAUUCUUUAAGGGCCUAUUUGAUAGGCAUGAUUUUCCAAUUCAAAUUCCAACUUUCACUUUUUGGAUAUUUGAUAGGUUUAUUUUUUUUUUUUUCAAUGAAAUUGAUUUUGACUCAUUUUAUUUUAUUUUUAAUGAAUGAAGCAAGAUAAUUGCAAGAUGAAAUAAAUCAACCACAAAUCAGACCACCAAGAUUUUAUGUGGAAACCCUAAAUGGGAAAAUAUUACGGGCAAAAGAAGGAAUUCACUAUAUCAAAAUCAAGAUCAAUGAUUGUUGAAUAAGAUUUGUUGCAAAUCAAGAUCAAUGAUUGUUGGAUAAGAUUUGAUGCACUCAACCAAAUCCAAUGUGUUUGUGGAGAAUGGGUAUCACAAAACGUGCCAAAAUCGAAAAUAAGCCAUGGUCGAAUAAGAUGGUCGCAUGAUCAGUGUGCCUCGCAUGUAGUGAGCAGCCUCACUAGCUCACGAGCAUUAUGCUCAUGCCAGACUCCGUUUUUUGGGCGUACGAAUGGAAACUGGAUGUUCAACGAGCAUAAAUGCGCCGAUUUUUUCUUCUUGGUUUGUAUUUGAACUUCUUCAAGACACCUUCAACGAACCACCAAUUCCCUUUUAACCAAAACACCAAUUUUCAAUGGAAUUUGGCACAUAAUUCAACAAAUUUAUACCAAACUAAGCUUAAUAUAUAGUUCAAAAAUUCAAUAAUAUAAGAGGUUGUUGGGGUUUGAGGGAAUGUUUUUGUUAAUGUUAGGGGGGAAAACCGGAUUUUUAGAGGGUGGAGAUCGAUUGUUAAGUUGUAUAUAGGGGCGGAUCCAUGAACUGCACCCAUUGGAAUCUUCAUUUUUUAAUAUUUACAAAGUAGUCCACAUAAUUUUUAGUCCAUAAUUUUAACCCAUAAUUUUUACAUAAUUCUAUUUUGCUCUCACUAAAUUAUAUUUCUGGGUUCGCCCCUAGUUGUAUAGGACAAAAACCAGGUUAUUAAAAUGAAUUUUUUUUUUUUUUUUGUAUGUAAAUGGUGAGUACACAUGCAUAUCAGCUGUGCAUACUAAUCGCUCUGUCCAAUUAAAAAGUGAAUUUUUUUGUAAGGUUUAAUUCAGUUUUCUGACAAAAUGGUAGGAUGUGGUACAAUUUUAUAAGAAUUUCCGUUGAUGUUAAAAAAGGUUAAACCCUAACCUUAAGGGUCCUCCACCACUCCUGCCCUGGAGUAUCGUAAGGGAGGUAAAUCGCAGGUUAUGCCUCCAAGGGUACAUGUUGGAAGACUGUUUGUACACUUGCACUUACCCAAGAGCUAAAUUCAUAUUUCAGGAUUCGAACUCUUGACGCAGUAGCCUCAAGCAAAACUAGAUUUCUCCACCUUCCCCUUUUACCACUUGAAAUGUGCCCUAGGGGGCGAAUUUCCGUUGAUGUUGAACACAUGGAUAGAACUUUAACAAGAUAAGGCAGUAAAUAAGAAAAAUACUUAAAAGUAUAUGUUAAAAAAAUACACAAAUAUGUGGUGUAACAAAAGAUUUCCAUGGUGGCAAUAUAGUCUUUCAUAGGUAAAACGAUCUAAGGCGAGGUUUAAAUAGGUUUUUAUAAAAUUCCAAUUUCUUUUGCCAAACGUUAUACAUUUCGAUUUAAGCGAAUUCUUAAAUAGUUGACGUUGUUUGACCAGUUAAACAACCGCAAUAAAACAUGUAUUAAACCAAAACUAAGUAAGACCAGAAACAACGAAUUUAACAUCGUAAACCUGCUCUUACAGACUAAAAAUUCCAGUACAAAAAUAAUAAUAAUAAAAUACAGUCAUUUUAAAUUUUUGAAACUAAUAUAAUUAUUGACAACGAAGAAACUAAAGCAAAGAAAAUACUAUGAAUUAAGAAAUAACAAAAAUACCCUUCCCUAUAUCAGUUUUUCCAAUUCUUUCACGUGGAAUUAAGGCCAUGUUUGAUAGAGGUUAAAUUCUAUGGAAAAUGGAAGUCAUUUUCCAACUUACACUUUUUAUGGUGUUUGAUAGAUUUUUUUCUAGGGAAAUCAUUUUCCAUCUUUCUUGCCACCUCACCCAAAUUCCGUCUUUUGAAAAUCAAUUCCCACCAAAUAUUGGUGGGAAUUGAAUUUCCCGGUUACUGUUGACAUUUUUUUUUUCGUAUUUUUUUUUUUUUGAAAAUGAAAACAAAUUAUAUUCAUAAUUGUUAAAAAAUAUUUACAUUUAAUUGACAAUUUUCAUAUAAAACAAAAUCAAACAAAUACUAAAAGAUAGAUGAUUUUUUUGAUUUUUUUUUUUUUGGGCAAUAGAAAGAAAUUCUAUCCCCAAUACCAAUCAAUUCUAUCCAUUUAUUUGACAAUUUUCAUGUAAAGUAAAGCCAAACAAACACCAAAAAAUACUUUUAUUUUAACAUUUUUCACGUUGAAAAUUAUAUCAAUCAAACACAAUAAUUUACAAUUUCCAACAAAAUAAUUUCUAAGCAAUUUAAUUUCCUGAAAUUCGUUUUCUUUAUACCCAAAUUCCAUUCUUACAAUCAAACAGACUAAGUAUCCAAAUUUUUGUUCCACAAACUGGAAUUAAUUGUUUCAAUGUUCACUAAACUUAAGCCCCUGUCUUUAAUUGGUCACUAUAUUUUAAAAUAUCGAGUUUUGGUCGCUAAACUUACCAUGUAUUUGAUUGCUCAAUAAAAUUUAAAAUAUCGAAUUUUGGGCAUCAAACUUUGAAAAAUGUUUUACAUUACUUAUUGUAAAUUUGACAUUUUUUUAAAGUUUAACAUUUACGUUAGUAAUUAACGUACAAAAUUUUCUAAAGUUUAAUGAUCAAAACUCAAUAUUUUAUACUUUAGUGAGCAAUCGAAGACAUGAACUUAAGUUCAGUGAUCAAAAUUCGAUAUUUUAAAUUUCAAUGACCAUUGGAAUAAUUAAUUUGCAAAACUGAUUUCAUCCUGACCUUUUUCCAAUUUGUCGUUUUACAAUGAAAGUAGAGGUUAUUUUUAUUUUUGCGCAUCCUCUUUCUCGACCCAAAUACUUCGUAUGAAGCUACUUUUAUAAGUUCCUGAUUAUCUAGAAUCACUUUAUGACUAUUGGCUAGGAAAAACUGAAAUCGUGGAAAGUCGUAGCUUAUCUUUGAAAAUUGAUUAGGAGAAACUGACAAGAAAACAACAUAAUUGGUAUGUUUGGUUGAGAUGAAAAAAAAAAGUUCGCUUGUAAGUAAAUGAUUAGGUUUAAAAUAACUUUCUUUUUAUUUAAAAAUAUGUUAAAUGAAAAGUUUGGAGAUAAAAGUGACUUUAACUUUUUUAAGCUUAGGUAAUCAUAAUAUUAUAUUUAGUAAAACACGUUAUGUAUUUCUUACUUUUAAGUAGGGUUGGGCAAAACUCCCGAACCAAAUCGAAUUGAACCAAACCCGAUGAUUCUUUUCAAGUUAAAUACCCAAAUGGGUAUCUGAAUCAAAAAGCGACGAGUACGAUUUGGUUCUCGAUUCUAGAUCAAGAAUUGAAGAAUCGAAUGAGAACCGAAUCUUCCUAAUUUUAUUUUAUUUUUAUUGAAUAAAUCAAAUUAUUUUAAUUUUCCUAAGCAAAUUGACUAAUUAGGUGAUUGAUUGAUACUCUAUCUCCCAAGCUUUAGCCUAGCUGGUUUGACCCAACCCAACCAAUUUUUAAAUCCAAUUUUUGAGCCCAAUUAUUUAUUUCAUUUCUAUUUUUUUAAUUUUUAGCCCAAGUGCCCAACAUCAAACCCUUUUUAUUUGUCCAUUUCUUAGCCCAACAUCAAACCCUUUUUAUUCUUUCAUUUCUUAUUAAAUCAUAUUAGUUGAACAAUUUUUAGUUUAUUUACGUUUGUUAAUUGUGCUUUUUCAAUUUUUCUGUAGAGAUUCUUCGUAUGGCAAGUCAAGCAAUUGAUGAUUAAAUCAAAUAGUUGGUAAGUAUUAGUAAUACUUAAAAAUAUUUUAUCUCUAUGACUUCUACUUCAAGAAAUUUUUUUAUUUAUACUUAAAGGCUGAAGCAAAUGAAUUAUUGAUAUUGAUCGUCAAUAUUUUAGUAUUAGUAUCUACUUUUUGGUAUUUGUAUAUGUUGGUAAAUUAAUCUUAUUAGACAACUUGUUAUUUAUAUGUUUUUAAUUGGACUUAGUUAAUUUGUAAAAGCUGUGAUUGAAUAUGUUAUUAAUUGUAUUUAUGUAGUGUUGUUGUAAAUGUUAAAAAAUGUAAUCACGAUACAGAACCGAACCAGAUCGAACCAAACCGAACGAAAAUGAACCUGAACGAUUUCAUAAUCAUAUUUGGACCUGAUGGUUCCACUUACUAAAUACCCGAAAUUUUUGUUCAGUGAACUGGACCGUGCCCUGCCCUACUUUUAAGUAAAAAAAUUUAAAUUUAUUUUUUACUUUAUUCAAAAUAAGUAACUUAGCCUCUAUUUUUUUUUUGAAAAAAAAAAUCAUUUAUAAAGAGGAAUAAUAAUGAAUAUCACUAAAUGUCAGGAUAAUAAAUGAGUAACAAUUAUAAAUAUGUGAUUGAAAUUAAUGUUUGAUUUUGACUUAAUUAAUAAAUUGACUGCAAAAUGGAGGUGAUAAAACAUUACGUAUUUCAUAAGGUACUUAUUAUGUAUAAGUAAAUUACAUAAGCAUAAAAUUAUAUGCUCAGCCAAAAAUAAAUAAUAGAAACCGGCAAGAAACAAUGGCUGCGAAUUUUUUGUCGUUUACAAUUGGAACAAAUCUUAUCAUCUUUUAUAAAUCAUAUACCUUUGCAAAAGAGAAGUAAUUGACGAGAAAUCCACAACUUAAUGUCAAUAGUCCCAUUAUGAAUUGGAAUCCAAUCACACAGGCUGUGUAUUUAUUUUAAAAAAAAAAAUACCAAAAUAAAUUCAGCAACUUCAUAAUGAAAAGAUUCGAAACUGACUCCAGUUUUUGGUAUUCAGAUAUAUUCAGAUCAAAUAAGCUGUGUUAUUAUUUUACUUCAAUAUAUAGAAUUUCUUGUGGUAUCAUUCAACUAGUAAAUAUUCAAUCUGUAUUCUGGAAGCUGUAAAAAUUGGACUAUGUUUGAUUUAGAAAAAGCUGAAACGCAUCUGUCAGAAAUUCUAAUCUUUAUCUUAUUCAUGGCCUUUGAAUUAAACGCAAAAGAAUGCAUAGAUUACGGAAACGGAAUAGACAGUCAAUAAUGGCGUGUUAAAAUAAUGAAUAUUAAGCUUCAGAAUAGUAAUAUGAAAAUGACGUUAUCCACACCACCGCACCUAUAAAUUCCCUCUUACAAUUCAGUUUUCUACCAAGCUCUCAAUUUAUAUUCACGUCAUUUUUCUUCCUAGGUUACACUAUUAACGAAAAACAUGGGUAUCUCUAAGUUUUUCCAUGAAAUCAAAGCUAAGGCUUCUCACAAGAGGAUGUUCAAGGCUGUGAUGAUUGAAAACGCCGACAUUUUGCCGAAAGCCUCUCCACACAUCAAGAAAAUCGAGACAAUUCAAGGCAAUGGUGGUGUUGGAAGCAUCAAGAAGACAACUUUCAGUGAUGGUUAGUCUACUAAACAACAUCACGUAAAAAGAGAGGAUAACGCUAUCUUUAAUCCUGUCCAACAUUAUCAAUAUAGCAUUUUAAAUAUGUGAUGAGUAUCUUAUUACAAAAAUUUUAAAAAUAAUAAUAACAAUAAAAUAUAAAAAAUUCUUAGGGAGAGACAAUAUAACGUCGUCGUUGCUGAUGUACAAUGUUGUGUAAUCUAGCAUACUAAAUGUGUCAUUCUUUUUUACAUAAUCUAAUGAGCAUAUAUGUUUUCUCAUAGGCAAGUACAUGAAGAACAAGAUCGACCAUCUGGACACCGCAAACGGCGUGGCUAAGUUGACUUUAUUUGAGGGUGACGUACUUGGAGACAAAAUUGAAUCUAUUAGCUACGAGGUCAAAUUUGAGGACUCAAAGGAUGGAGAAUGUGUUGUCAAGAUCACCACUGAGUAUCAUACCAAGGGUGAUGUUGUACUAAAAGAAGAGGAUGUUAAGGCAAGCAAGGAACAAUCUUUUGAACUCUACAAGGCUUAUGCAGAUUACCUAAAUGCCAAUCCUCAUGUUUGUGCCUAAAUGUUUUCCAAUUAUGUCUUGACGUUGUGAUGUAUAAUGGAAACACACAUGUUUCCCUAUUUCUGUAUUUCAGUAUAAGUGGUGUUUUUGCCUUAAUAAAGAACUUUGUUCUACUUUCCA